rnacentral:lncRNA from 1 species
UAUUGUGAGAAUUCUCCGAGUUCUCAUCAGAAUUCACUUUCUAUAGUGAUCAGAGUAAAGCAAAUUCUAGCAAGCAAAGUUAAUCAAGCAUACCAUAUUAGAGGUCCAUGUAGAGUCGCAAACCAUCAUGAGCUAGCUGCACUGGGAUCCCUUCUCUGAAAUGAAAUAGAAGUUCGGAGCAGUUCAGCAAUUGAUAUUAUGUGAAAACGAAGCAUGAGAAAAAAAACUUACUGCCCAGUUGUUGAGAAAAGAGAUGGCAACUUUUGGCCUCUACCCGAAAACCUGACCCUAUCCAACCCGUUUUUGGUAGAGUAAGAGCAAAAAGUUUGUACCCGGAAAAUUUUCAGGUUGGGUCAGGGUAAGAGGAUCUACCCGCAUUUGAAAUUGGUAUUAGGAAAACAUGCAGUUCUACCCAACCCUACUGGCCUGCUGCUAUUUAAAGCCUUUGUUUGUUAUUUGAGGACGUGAAAAAAAAAGCUUUUUCCCUCCUCGAGACUGUAAUAUACCAAAUGGAACAAGUCCAAAGUACACCACCUGCUGGACCAUGCAGCCAAUAUCUCGUUAUCCUCGUGGUGAUCGAACUCAUGAGUCAUUCCAAUGAGCAGCGCCCUCUUCGGACAUAUCCUCUUAACAGCAUCAAGAGUCUGUAAAUAUGACAAUUAAACAUUACUAGAUCAUUUCGUAUUUGAGAAUUUAAGUUGACUAGCAAAAGCAAUAUACUAAACCAACCUGAUUCCAGCAAAGGUGGGUAUUAUGGGAGCCUCCCUGUCCAACAAGUCGAUGAGAUCACAUCAGCUCUAUACUGAGAAAAUUAUCGGCUAGACUUACAGGAUUUUAUUUUGUCACUAUUGCACGUGAAUCAAGGGUUUUAAAUUAGAAACAAGAAAUUAAGUUAUUAAAAAACAUGAAAUUACGUUAUAAAAUAAAAACCCAGUGGUAAACAGAAAAAGAAAAGGUACAAACGGAAAUCACAAGCUAACCUUGUACAAAGUAUCUAUGAUGAGAAGAUCCAAUUGUCCAGCUCCCGACUUUGAAAUAACUGCAAAAUAUAAAUUUAUGAAGAUAAAACUAGACAAAAAUGAUUAAUAUAAGGGAUAGGUUGGGUAUACCUAAUGUAACAAAGAGGCAUAAAGAGGACAUGCAUUUGCAUUAGGGUCAUCAAAUCAUCAAUAUGUAUAUGUCAAUGAUGUUGCAUUGAGUUCAAGUAUCAUCACCAUCCAAACCUUUUAAGAAGAAUAUGUAUUCUUGCUCAUAUUCUCACUGAGCAAAGCUCAAAAUCAACAAAAUGAAAGAUGGCGGCAAAUAGAACUUUGGUUCCAAUCAAGGAUAGGGAGCAAGCCACAAAUGUUCCACUAAAUUAAAAGGGUACACAGUAUGCAAAACAAUAAAUAACUUUUAAUGAGGGAUCGUAUUCAUUUUCGAAUAUAGACAAGCAAAACAGCGAGAUAGAACACAAACUAUUUGUCUAAAACUUGAUACACUCUAAAACACUUAAAACAGCUGUAACCAUGAAGAUAACAAAUAAUUCCUUACCAUACUCGGUGCUAGCAGGAAAUCGUGAAACAUCAGAUACAUAUGCAACUUUUGACUUGCAUCCAAAUAAAAAGCCCAAAGAUAUGUAAUCCUCUCCAUGUAUCACCUGGAUGAACGAAUAGGAUUUUACAAGAAGAUAUUGCAUGAAAAUAGCUGUUACAAUAUUCCAAAGGUUUGGAAAUGGAGCUAGUUACCGGCAAAGGAACAAACUCUAGCCCCGAUGAUGUAAAUGGUUUCUCACAGUGACUCUCAAUAAUUCUCCAAUCAAGUUGAGCAACACGCCUAACUUCUUCGCCCUCCUUUAGUUUCUUCUUGAUCAGAUAUGGGAACUUUAAAGCAAUACUGUUUCAAAAUUGUAAAAACUACACAAGUGAAACACAACAAUGAUUUGAAUUUGAAUAGCCAACAGCAAAAGCUGAAUAAAUUUUUAAUUUCCCCACAUGCAACAAUAUAAAUGACGUUCGUGCUACUAUUUAAAUUACUUUAAAGAUGCAGAUUAUGCAGCUUAAGGAGAUCUAAUAGUACGAUAUUUAUGUUGAAAGAACUACGAAAGGUACUAAUUUAGUAAUACUGCAAAAGCAUUAUUCCAUUUACUAACACUUUAAAUAACCCAACAUUCCAGGCAAGCACAUUCUCAUUACCUUCUCCUAAAUUACCAUUUUCUGCAUAAAAGUUGAUAUUUACUCGUACUUAUUUUCCAUGGAAAAUACUAAUUUCCUUUUCUGUUUUGGAUCAACUUCCUAGAAUUAUUGGGAUGGACAGAUUCGGUGGUUUUGACUUUUAAUCACUUCAAACAGAUUUUAGUUGAUAACUGCCCAAACUUUUCAAAAAGGCCAGAAUUAAAAUAACCUCCAUUUACUUGACAUUUUUAAGGAUAAAGGAACUAUUUAGUUAAGAUACAUUCACGUCAACUAUAUGAUUCCAACACAUCUGUGGUCAAUCUUUUGACACCUUAAUCACAUUAUAUAACUUCAACCUAGCUAUUUUCUUGCCAACAAAAAUCAAAUUUCAGGAAGCCCUAGUAUCUGUCUUUACUUCACACAUUAACUUCUUCUGACUAAAAUGCAGCUGCUUCAAACAAGAUGUCACAAAAGAUAACAUGGAUCAAUUCAAGUUUGCACCUAAGAAGAAAAAGUCAUAUGUAUGGGCCUUUCUAAAAUGGAAAGCUAGCAGGAUGAAAUUGUACCAUAAAUGGUUUCAUAAAUGGAAACCAUCUCAGAGUAUCAUAACAGCCAAACGAAUGUCACUAACAUAAUAACCUCACAGAAAUGUAUCAAAGGAUCUUUUCCUUGAUGAUUGCAGAGAAUGAAUACUUAAAACCUCUCUGAGUAUCAUAAUAAACUAAAAGAUUUUUACUCACCAAAUAUAGUACCUUACAAAUCAUCCUUCCACUUUCAUGAAAAGGAAAAGCUACAGCCACAAAAAAUUUUGCCUCAAAGUAGAGUUAUGUUUAUUUGCAGAGCGGCUUAGCAAUGACGAGUAUGUAAAGAUGGAUACAUUUGCUAAAACUGAAAAUACCUGUCCAUUGCAAACUGGGUGAGAUAAAUAGGAGUGGGAUCAAUAUCAUUUGUAGCGCUAUAUGGUUGUACCACCCGAAUAUCAUCAAGACCUAAGACAGCAUCUGCAUGUUCGUGAGUCAGUAUAAUCUGCAAGAAAUUACAGCUGUGUUAAUCUAUGUCCACAAUAAGAUCCUAAUGAAAAUACUUUAAAUAUCUUUUUAAAUCCCCACAAUUGAUCCUGACGUGCCAGAAUGUAAACAUCAAAAAGCACAACAAAUAGCAAUUCUUAAAUACGAAGUACUGAAUGUGAAUAUAAUUGAAAGAUAGCUGCAUGACAGUAAAAUGUAAUAAUUAUAGUACCCACGGAAUCAACACGAGGAAUCUUAUGGUGAACAAACCAACGCAGAACUUGUUCUCUAAAGGUUUUUCCAACAUCAAUCAGAAUAUAGUUGUGCUCUCCACCAUCCGGACAGUAGUCAAUCAAAAGAGAAGUAUUACACCUGUAAAAACCAAUAAAAAAAAAAGGUAAAGGAUUCAAUACAAAGUUCUUAAAAUAAAUCCAAAGCUAUGUGCCAAUAAGCAGUUCUUCAUCAAUAUCUUCUACAAGGUUCCUCUUCAUUCUCAAAGAACUUGGUCGACAAACCAAAUCAAGUUCAGUUAUGCUGUUUUUACAGAAGAGAACAAAAUUAUUCUUCCGAGCAAUACGCAAUGUGCAAUACACACUGAUUGCAUAACUGAAUAUACAACAUGCCAUGGCAUUUGAUUUUCAUAUUGACGUGAAUCCAUAAAACAGUAAAUAUAAAGAAGCCACACCCCAUCACUUAAAUUUUGGAACCACAGCACUUUUUGAGCUUUUCUGAUUCUUGGUUUUUUGGAAUAUAAUUUUUGAGCAAAGCAAAAAAAAUUUAAUCUCUCUCUAAUUUGCGGAAUGAAUCAAAAGAAGAGCUGAUCAGCUACUGGAGAAUAAAUCUAUCCAUCAAAUUCAAAAUCAGAUAUGCUCAGAUCAAAAUCAUUCCACGAAAUCAAUCCGUCGAAUCAGCUCCCCAUACCAAAUUCGAACAACAUACAGUAUUCCAUCAAGAAACAAGAGUAAAUCGCCUCAAAUCCCUAAGAAAAAUAACAGAAGAGAUCGAAUGUUCGAUCCCAAACAGGGAAGUAAAAGAACAAAAGAAAAAAGGAGAGAAUUGCUGGAUCGGACCUGUAAUUAGGGUUUCGCUCGGGAGGGGUCGAGAGCGAUUGGAAACAGACCUUGCAGGGCGGAUCGGAGGGCUGGAUCAGGCACCGGGCGUUGGGGACGGCGCUGGAACAACCGGUUCCGAGGAAGAUCAGGGAAGAGGAUCCGCCAUUGUUGGGAGCUUCGUCGCCGCGUAGGAUCCCGUUUUGGAGCGAUGGUGUUCUCAACUCCAUGAUCGAGCGAUUUGGAUGUUGAUGUAGUGGGAGGAGGAGGAGGAGGAUGGUGCGGGAGAUCUCGGAGGAGAAGAGGCUACAUAUAUAUCUAUAUAUAUUAACGGGGCGGGAACCGCACCGUCGGCAUGGACCUUUUUUUUAUUUUUCUUUUUCUUUUUCUUUUCAGUUUUUUAUUGGAUUUUUUUUUUACGGCAUCUAACGGACACAUGCGAUAAAGCGAGAUCGACCGUUGCUUGUUCUGAUCUCCUAGAUCUCUGCCGUUUGUUUGUCUCGUAAAUCAUCUUAGUGGUAUUUAACUAAAAAAAAAAAAAAACUAGAUAUGUACGUUGCAUUUUGGAGUUUAUAAAAAUUUAAAUAAAUUUUCAGUAAUAAAUAAAAAAUUAUAAGACUCGAAAGAGUAAAUAAACUUUUGAAUAAAUAGAAUAAAAAAUAAAUUAUAAUCUAAUUUUGAGGUGUAAAUUAUAAAAUUAUAAAUAAAUUUUCUCGCUCCGCCAUUAGCGUCGUUUAAGGACUCUUGGAGCACUCCCGCUUCUCUCCCCUCCGCUUAUCCCCAAAAUUACGAUGCUUAAAACCCUAGGAAGGGGUUUCAAAUCAACUCUAUUCGCUCUAUCAAACAACAAUCUCAAAUCCAAGAACAUAGCAACUCCACAAACCCUUAUCAGUUUUAUACCCAAUUUCGACGCGUCUUCUCCGAAUUUCCGUUAUAAAAACGCCACCUUUUUCUCCUCCGCUUCAUGCUCCUCCUCAGAUCUAAGGCCCAAGCUUGGCGAUUCAAAUGCAUCUUCUACGCACUCUAAUGAUCUCAAAGACGACGAUGCUCGGUUCGGUGCCUCAGUUUUGAGUGAUGAUCUCGACGAAGAAGAUGAGUCGGAAUGUGGAAGCAACGACGACGACGACAAUGGGUUUGGCGCUUUGGAUUUGUUCGAUAAAAAUGCCGCGUCCAAGGACGAGAAGAAGAGUUACAAGGAAGAAGAUGAUGAAGAAGAAGAAGAAAAGGAUGAAUCAAGAAACCCUAUAGUGAGAGAGAUAUGCAGGUUGAUCGAUCUCCGCCACGCGUGGAAUCCGCAAAUGGAGAGCCAGCUUCGGCUCCUGCUACGAAGCCUAAAACCCCGGCAAGUCUCCGCGGUCCUCCGAUCGCAGCGAGACGAGCGCGCAGCCGUAAGCUUCUUCUACUGGGCCGAUCGGCAGUGGCGGUACCGCCAUGCCCCCGAGGUGUUCGACGUAAUGCUCCAGCUGCUUAGCAAGACUAAACUGUGCGAGGCCUCGCGGCGGAUCAUGAGGCUCAUGAUCCGCCGCGGGCUAAGUAGGCGGCCCGAGCAUUUCGCAUGUUUGAUGCUCUCCUACAGCCGCGCGGGAAAGCUCAGGACCGCGAUGAGGGUUUUGAAUCUGAUGCAGAAAGAUGGCUGCGCUCCGGACUUGACCGUUUGUAAUGCGGCGAUUCAGGUUCUUGUGAUGGCCGGCCGGUUGGCGAAGGCGGUUAAGUUCUCGGAUCGCAUGGAAAGGGUCGGAAUCAAGCCUAAUAUUAUUACUUACAAUUCGCUGAUAAAGGGGCUUUGCGAUGCGGGAAGAUACGAAAAUGCCCUAGUAAUGAUUCAACAGAUGCCUCUCAGAGGUUGCUCGCCCGACAAGAUCACUUACUACACAGUGAUGAACUUCUUCUGCAAAGAGAAGAGGAUGGGAGAGGUGAGAGAGUUGCUGGAGAGGAUGAGAAUGGAGGCGAAUUUGAUUCCUGAUCAGGUAACUUAUAUUAUGAUAAUUCACGCAUUAGCAAAGCAUGGGCACGCGGAUGAGGCGCUUGAGUUUAUGCGCGAGUCGGAGGAGAAAGGGUUCAGGAUAGAUGAGGUUGGAUAUAGCUCCGUCGUGCAUUCAUUUUGUCAGAGUGGGAGGAUGGAGGAGGCGAAGAAUAUCGUCACCGAGAUGAUUUCAAAAGGUUGCCUUCCUGAUGUGGUGACAUAUAGCGCGGUCAUUGACGGAUUUUGCCGAAUAGGGAAAAUUGAUCAAGCAAGAAAGAUGCUGAAGUAUAUGUAUAAGAAUAAUUGUAAGCCGAACACGGUCACAUACACUGCAUUGUUGAACGGGUUGUGCCGAAUUGGGAAAUCAUCAGAAGCGUGGGAAAUGCUCAAUCGGAGCGAGGAGGAAUGGUGGACGCCGAAUAAUAUUUCGUAUAGCGUCGUCAUGCACGGUUUGAGAAGAGAAGGGAAGCUGAAAGAGGCUUGUAAUUUGGUCACGCAGAUGCUGCGAAAUGGAUUCUUCCCCACACCGGCCGAGGUUAAUUUACUUCUCCAUGCACUGUGUAAAGAGGGUGACGUGGGAGAGGCGAAGAAGUUCAUGGAGGAGUGUCAAAGCAAGGGUUGUGCCAUUAAUGUGAUAAAUUUCACCACCGUAAUCCAUGGAUUUUGCCAGGAAAAUGACUUGGGUUCAGCGCUUUCGUUGCUGGACGACAUGUAUUUGAGCAAUAGGCAUCCCGACGUUUACACUUACACGGUUAUGAUUGAUGCUUUGGGAAAGAAUGAUCGGUUCGAAGAAGCAACAGAGCUUGCAAAGAAGAUGCUCCAUAGAGGAUUGGUUCCUACGCCCGUUAUGUAUAGGACAGUGAUACAUAGAUACUGCGAGAAGGGUAAGGUUGAAGAGUUACUGAAGUUGCUCGAGAAAAUGCUGCAGAGAAAGGAGCUAAGAAGUGCAUACAACCAAGUGAUUGAGAAGCUUUGUGCCUUGGGCAAACCUGAAGAGGCUUACAAGAUUUUAGGGAAGGUUUUGAGAACAGCCUCGAAGAUCGAUGGACAAACAUGCCACAUUUUGAUGGUGAGUUCUCUCAGGAGUGGUCUUCCACUGCAGUCGUAUGAAGUGGCGUGCCGAAUGUUCCAGAGGAACUUAAUUCCUGAUGUUAAAGUGUGUCAAAAAGUUAAGGAUAGGCUAGUCUUGGAGGGACAUGCGAAUCACGGAGAAAAGCUUAUGACUAAAUUUGUUGAGAGAGGGCUCCUUUCACCUCAGAACCAGUAGAACCUGUUUAUGACAUGAGAAACCGUAGCAUUUUUUUCUCUCCCUGAUUUUGGGUGAACACAAUGAUGAGUUCAUUAUUAUCCAUGAUGUGGCAAUCAUAUUGGAAAGCAAUUGAUGUAUGAGAAAGAAUUGUGGUGAUGGUUCAGGACUAAAAACAGCAUAAAGAGCUUGGAAACAACGAGAAAAAGACAGAUAUCUUAUAUUUAUAUCGUCCAUCCAAGAAAAUUCUAUUUGUAUAGGAUACAGAAGCAGCAAUUUACUAUUCGGUGUGGUACUAAAACUUGCUAUAAUGAAACAAAGUGUAAAAAUCACGAGACUUCCAUGACAUACUUGAAAACAAACAUUGAGAAGCAGAGCUGUCCUGUUUCCAGAAAUUUCCAACGAGCUUGACAACAUGGUAAGCAAUACAGUUGAGAAAGAAAUAGAAAAUAUGAAUUUUGACGAUAUGAAAACUUUUUCCACAUUGAUUGCACCAUUGACCGCACGAAGGAAUAUCUCCUUAACCAAAAACACCAGGUUAAAACAACAGGAAGUUAGAAACAAAAAGUAAAUUCUUGAAACAUAAUAUAGCAUACAAGAAAUAAAAGGAGAAUAGUCUCAACAUCACAAUGGCCCAAACCUAAUCAGAUGCACAUGUUAAUCACAGCCAGGAAAGGAAAGAUAUAGCUCUCUGUUGAUAGACAUAGCACUAGAGUACAUACCAUCGUCAAUUUACCUGCUAAGAUUCUUAAGAAGUCUGGUUCUCUAACAUGCUUGAAGAAAAUAAAUUAAAUAGAAUUAUUUCUGCUGCCUUCUCCCUUUCUGGUUUCAGCUGCAACAAUUAGUUUGUUUUCCCAUGAUAGCCCUGAGUCGUCAGAAAAGGAAUCAGGUCAGUAUACAGCAGGUUAAGUUUUAAUAGAAGAGCAGAUGCAGAUAUUACAGCUUCGAAGAUCCUCAUUAACUACCACAAAGUUUUUAAUUAUUCUUGAACUUCAAUUUGAAAUUCAUGUUUAAAGAUAUACUGUCUUUCAGUACUAGUAAGUUCAUCAUAUUUGAAGAAUGUAACACCUCUUCAAGUUUGACAGUAUAUGCUUCCAGUGAACCAUUGAAAAGACGGUACACCAAAUAUGUCCAGCAAUAACAGAUCAAAUGGUGGUCCAAGGAAAUAGCAAAUACUAUAUUUGAAUAACCAAUAUGACCUAAUAUAUAGGUAUAAAUAUUGUUUCAGUUAACUAACUAACCAAAUCUUAAAAAUUAAGCUCCUUUGCGAAAGCACAAAGGGAACUACUACAGGCAUUUGCAGCAUAACAUAACUGAGAAAGAUAUGAGAGAUGUAAACAUAACAAUACACCAGAGUAUCAAACUCACAAUCAACGUUUGCCAUGGCUUUUACUUGCGGAGUGGCGUGUCACGAGUUUGUGGUUAGGAGUUACAUGAUCAUCCUGCACAAAUAAAAAUAAUGUUAUUGAACAACCAUGGCAAAUAGUGUGGAUAUCAUUGAGCACCAUUCAAUAAAUGAUGCACACAUUAAAGAAAACAAAAAAAAACAAAAGAAGAAUGAAACAAAUAUGGUCAAAGCUUACCUUGUAGAGAGAAGCUGCAGAUUCUGACUGCAUUGUUUGGUUUGGGACAUGACCUAGAGAUUGCAAAGUGUCGAGGGCAUCCAAUGUAAGCUGCCAGCCACAAAGAGCAACUGGAGUACUCGAACUAGAAGCAGUAUCGCUGUAACAGCCAGCGGCUGCAACAUUUCCAUUUACCCAAGGACAAUAGCUGUUAUGAUGCUUAAUAGGAUCAAAUUCUCCAACCUCUGAUUCAUAGUCAUUUUCCCCAUUUGCUGUUCCAAUUAAACAAACAAAAAGGUUUUCACAAGUGAUAAGAGAACCAAGUUACUUCUUGUUCACAAAAAGAAAAAACAAAGCAACUACAGAUCGCUAACAUACGGAAUAAGGAAAAGUAAAACAAUCUGUAGUGACUGUUAGGUCUUGAAAUCAACAUAAACAAACAUACCAAAUUCUUGCAGGAUGCGGUUCUCAUGAAUUUGUUCAUAGGUUGACACUAUAUACUGACAUUGUCAAAAACUAGGAGGAAAUAAAUAGCAAUCUUGUGAACAAGUAAUAUAUCGUAAAAUAGAAACUGCCAAACUGGAAGUUUUUUCAACUUAGAGGUCAAAACUGAGAAACAAAAGGAGGAAAUAUAACCAAAGUAGAUAAGAGUAACCACUAACCACACAAGUCUGAUGAAUUUAAAGUAAAACUUCCUUCAAAACCUGAAAUAAUCUUAAAAAGUUCAGUAUGGAAGAAUGAAAACAUUACCUAACCCAUUUCCAGGAUCACCAUCCGACAACAAGGGCGCCUCAUCAAAAUUAGACACCUUGCCUCUCUGGGUCACCUCCUCCUUGGACACUUCAUAGCCAGAAUAAAUUACCGCAUUGCAAGAAAGAGAAGGAUGUGCAGUGCUAUCAUGACCUAGGGCAUCACUCAUCUUCUCCCUACUUUCAACAGAAUCAGCUUUUGUCGAGCCAUGAAUUUUUGAACCACUGUCAGCUCUGCCCAUCGAUCGAGACACCAUAUCCUGGCUAUCCCCAUGAGGAUCCUCACGACCAACAUCUUCCGGCACAAACUCGUCCAUUAAUCCAGGUCCUGGAACUGAUUCACCAGUUUGCCCUAUAUUUUCCGUGACUUCAGUGAUCGGUUCCACGUCGCCAACAAUGCUAUUUGUUCUAUGCACAGAAACAUCAACCCCAUGGAUUUCAGCUUCAUGGCUCGCACCCAUACCAACACUCCCUCCACUGAGGCCUAAACUAAAACGGUCCCUGGCAUAGUUAGUAGCAUUUUCUGCAUUAAGAAUUUCUUCCCCCUCAUUUGUACUGCUGCCUCCCAUCUCUCUAGCAGCACUUCCAGCAGCAGGUUGUAGGCAGGUACUUUGCUGAGCUUGAUUGCUGUAGUUUAAAUCCAAGGCAUCAUUCAUGUCAAGGUUCCUAUGGAUCCUUGGUGAGGGUAAAUGAAUAUCAUCAAUAUCACCCGGAUAGUUUUCAACACUUUCCAUGGAAUCGUCCUCGGCACUAUGGCAGAUCGUGUCCAUCGCAAUAACAGAGGAUGCCCGGGCAGAAUCUCUAGUGGACGGGAGGCCUGGGAGCGUAGCAGCUGCAUCAUUCUCUUCUUUAAAGGGGUCAGACCUGUUCACAUCUAUCUCAAUAUCGAAGCAUAAAGAGCGACUUGGGCCUGCACCAGAAGAAUCAAUUCUAGACAAUGGGUGGUAUGUAUCGAUAUUCAACCCACGGGCACGUUUUGCUGGACCAUCCGAAUUCUGUGUACCAUCAUCAACUUCGUCACCAUCACGGUCAAUAACAGUCCCUUCUAUACUGUCGGCCCGCUGAAUUCUAUCCUGUGGCCUGUCGACUGUGCUUCCACCAUCCUCAAGGUUACGCUUCCUAGAGCUUGGACCCCGUGAUUCAUAUGAAGCAGCACGGUCACCAACCUCACUUCCAGUAGGCUGUCCGAUCAUUAAAUCUCUCCCCAUGCCCCCAUCAUCAAAAUGUUCUGAAACUGGUGGGAUACCAGAAUGGAUGGAUGGCAAUCCUCCGGCUAUGGUCAGAUUCAGAUCCACGCCAGCAUUUGAUAGUGAUUUCCCCUCACCAGUUGUUGCUUCUUCCUCACGACCUUCUAUUUGUUCUUUUUCUGUUCCAUCAGCCGCACCCCAGCCGUUUACUCCGCUAGCUGCACUUACCCCACGAGUCAGUAGAGACUUUUUGCCUGCAUCAGGCGUGUCGUUGUUGUUAGGACUGAACCUAGCAGGACGAGGAACGGUGCGGAAGUCCCAGAUUCUGAUGGUGGCCCCACAUAAACUGCAAUCUAAUAAGGGGGACCUCAUGUUGCACCGAGAGUCUUUAACAGAUCCUUUUCUUUCCCUGGUGCCUUUUUUAACUGAUGCAGAGAGUGUUUUCUUAUUAAGCCCAGGAAGGUGAGAUUGAAAUUGGUCUUUGGUUGGGCCAGUUGAGCACACAUUUCUAGCAGACUGAGUUGAGUUUUCCUCGCAGUCUUGAAUAUUUGGGAGCCAUCUAGGCUCCCAUCCACAAAGGCUUAUGAGCUUCUGUGCCUACUCAGAAUUGCAUUAAAAGAAAAAAGCUAAAGUGAAUGGAAGCUAAAAUUAAAAGAUAAAAUAAGAACUUAAAAGCAUCAAGAAGUGAUAGAACUGCGUACAAGAGAGUAAUUAUAAAGGGAAUCAUCUCGAGAGAGCUCUAGUCCUGGUGUGCUAUCUGCUUUGUAACCUAAUUCCCCAGAUAAAAAUGUGUAUGGUUGUGACAGAAGGCGAUCAAUCUGAGAGCUCCUUGUGAGCCUCAUAGUCUCGAUUGCUGUUAAAGCUAUCAUUGGAAGAGAGAUGAACUGCAAGAGCCCAUCGCACCUAUCUUUAUAACCACCAAUUAAUGCUGAUUGAGGAGUUGGGGGAAAUUGCACCAAGCUAUCAGCACAGCUGCUUCCUUUCCAUGGGCAAGUAACUUUGUGGCUUGCAUCGAGCUGUUCAGCAAAGGCUUCCACAGCACGAUCAACUAGGAAGAAACACAAAUAAGCACAAUAAGUACAGUCUAUCAUAUGAAAUAGCUGGGGACACAAAACAAUCAUGUUUUUGCUGACAAGAACAUUAUGACUUCAAAAAAUCAUCCCACUAGAUGUUAAUUUGUCUCAUUCUUGUAUCUAGGAAAGGAAACACUUCAAAGUUCAGACAACAAUUGCAUCAUUCAAUGCCCUUAAAAUUGUUAUAAUAUGUCUAAAUCACAACUGUAUAGUAUUAUGCUAAUCAAUUAGAAUUUCCUCUGAAAGCCUUUCUAUGAACCAAACAUAAUGCCCGUCGAUUCUAUUUCAAAUCAUACCUUCAGCAGGCGUCCAGGUAGAUAGUACAGCGAAUAUAAGCUGUACACCACAUGACUCACAUUCAAUUUUGUCAACAUCAAUGUUCAGCCAACCUCGUCGUGAACAAGCCAGCGCAUUAGCCGCCUGAAGUUUUCAAUUGCAAAUGUUUACAAACCAUAGGAAAGAAAAGAGGGAAUUACUUAUUCUAAGAGUUCAAGUACAAUACAUUUGGGGGAAGAUAUGUGAGUUCUAGAAAAGAGUAAAAACUUCAACAGAAGAAGCCAGUACCCGUUAAAAGAAGACCAUAAGUGUUCAUUGAAUUGCAAAUAUCUAUACAAACAACUGUUUAUACAGGAUAUUUUUUUGAUCAUACAAUAUAUGCUGCACAAAACACACACAGUUUUUUCUUACAUAACAAGAAACUCAUUAGAUACGACAAGAAGAAUUAGAUAUACUUUAGAUAUACAUGUAAAUCAUGCGAUGGAGCAAGGAAAACUAUAACUAGCUGUUCAAAUUUAAGGAAAACUUAGAUUUGCUAACCUUUGGUUUUGCAAACCAAUUUGAAGGCCUAAAUGUGGCAAGGCGGCGAAGCAAGUCACCUCGUUCCCAUGGUCGGCAUGAAGGUUGUGAGGUUCCCAAAGCAGAGCCACCAACAUUUGUGCUUAAAGAAGUUCGAGGGGGUCGUGGACCGAUACCAGACAAAGAACCUGCUUUGGAACCCUGCGCACUACCAAGCCAAUCUAUGCUGGCUACAUUAGUUGCCACAGCAGGAGAGGAAGCACCAGCCGAACUGAGAUGCAGAUAAUACUCGGCGUCAGCUUAAAGAAGCAGUGGAAAGUCAUGCAUCCCUAAGUAAAAGAAAAAUUCGCAUGCAUUUCUUCACAUUGGAUUCUACUUUUGCACCCUUCUAUUCUUACUAGCAUUAUUGCAGAUGUGAUGCUUGUUUAGAAUGUUUUUCUUAUGGGCCUUUUAUUUAUAUGAGUUAUUUUUUCCUUUUUUAAAGACAGUAUCAGUUAAUUUUUCCAUGCACUGAUCCCAGAGUCCUCAUAUCCCGACUAACUUCGGAGAGUCAUUUCUUGGUUGCAAGAGUUAGAGCAAACCAAAGAUGUCUGCCAACCAAGCUAACUGAUUACUCCAGUGUCCCUCUCUCUCACUAUCUUGAAUUUCCUUACUUCGGGAAUUGGCAGUAGUUCCUAAAAGAUACAUGCUAGAUUGAUAAUCCCUACCAAAAAUUAAUCUCAUUUACACAGAACUUACUCAAGUCUCAACAGUGACAUGAAUAUUUAUUUGCCCACAACAUCAAUGAUGGCUAACUGUUCGCUCACAUUAAAUAUUGCCUUCCAUAGGAAACUCCCAAUAUAAAUUGAAAAUGGAACAUGUAGGAGCAUAAAACAAAGCAACAUUGCCAUGUGGAGUUGAUUACACUUCUAAUCUGAUAACAGGAAUAUCUAUUAUUGAGCCAGUCUCAAUUGUGAAGAAGUCAAUUCAAAUAACUUAUGUGCAAUCUUUCCACUCCAAAACGUAGCCCAGACUUUUGGCAAACAAAAGUCUGAAGUUCUAGCUGUUGCGGCAAGUUAAACUGAAAUUGCAAGCACACCAAAAGCAAAAUCACAAAUUUGAAACUUCUGCUUAUAGUACAGCUGGAAGCUGUCAAGGGGGGUUUUGCUGAGGAAAAUAUUGUUAGGUCUUCUUCAAAUACCGCUAAACAAACAACACUAAUCUCACAAAUUUAGGGUCAGUCAGUUCAGGAACUACAAAGAGUUCUUUUGAAUUCAGGUCGCGCUCCAGUAAACAACCAGCACAAACCUUAUCCAAACCUACCAUAUUAUACUAUGUAAUGGAAUAAAACGGAAGUAAGGAACAAAAUCUAGCAGCCUUUCCUAACCAAGUACCACAUGAUCGCAGCACACCCUACGAAACACCUCCACCAUUAAAGACGAACAAAAACCCUACCAAACUAUCUCAAAUUGGAGACUUCAUCAAAAAGCUAAAUCAAUUAGACCUAAGCAAAGACCCAAAUCUAAGCUAUCAUCAAUACCCUAGCUCCUACCACCAAAUUCUAGGGUUUUAGACCGAGAAAUCCCCCAACAUGAGAGACCUCCCGCUAUUGAAAGCAUUUAAUACUUCAUCUUCACCAUUAGUAAAACGAGAACAACAAAUCGAGCACAAAUUUCGCAGGAUCCGAGAGAAUAGAGCUCGAACGAGGAAUCACAGAAGGAGAAGGGGGAUGAGUCGAUACCUCGCGGCGGGGGUCGGAGGCGGAGACGACGACCUCGCGAGCGCGAAGGGCUCCGCCGUCCCCGAGCUUUUGACCUCCUCUCGCAUCCCUCCUCUCUCUCUCUCUCUCUCUCUCUCUCUCUCUCUCAGAGAAAUUGGGGAAAAUUCCUCGUCCCGCUCCACUGGGGCCAAUUUAUAGCGGGGGAGAAGGAGAAAUCCGGGUGAAUGCUAAUUUGCGCCCGCACGCACCGCACAGUGCGGCUCUACGCGUAGGUAAUAAGGUCACGUGAUGGGCCCCGCCCCUCACAAGGACGUGACUCUUCCCCUUAACGGACACGUGCAUACAUGACGGCCGUUAACGCUGCCACGUGGGUGAGACUGUUGCCUGAAACGGGCCUACCACGUCACUCAUCAUCGUGUGUACCAAUUCCCCUGUAAGUGGAUAAAAUGUGCUAUUGUUAAUAUUUUCCGAGAAAACCAAAAAAAAAAAAGGAAAAGAAUCUUGUAAUGCCACACAACGUUUUGUUUGAUUAUAAUCGUUCUUCAAAUUUUAAAAAAUUAUUUAUUAAGUAAUAAUUAACUCACCUAAAGCCGGUACAAGAAUAUGUAUUAAAAAUUUAAAAUUUUUUAUGAUAUGACAAUUUUAUAAUAAAUUAGACAAAAAAAAUCAUCCCGGCCUAUAGACCGUGUCCACGAAAGAAAUUUCCGAUCAUCAUUCCGCGCGAUCCCGACCGUCAAACUUAUGGACCUGGUGAUUUAACGAUUCGCUGCUGAAUUUUCCAGUGGCGAGUAAUCACAGCCGUCCGAUUUACUGUGAUCUCAUCUUGAUGUUGCUCCGACGAUGAAUUUAGGCUUGUGUAAUAAUUCUAAUCGAACGUACAAUCGAUUAGACGGAAAAAGUCGCCCAUCCACAGUUCCAUGAGUUUUGUUUACGGGAGAAUGUUUGGAGUACCGCAAUGCGUACCCAAAGUUUCCCCUGGUGAGCAGGAUAUGUAUAUUUAUCAGUACAAUUUAACUUACAUUGAUAAUAUAUAUAUAAAUAAUAUAGUGGAAAUGAGAAUUAUUUUUUUUAACUUAAUUAUAUUAACAACCUCUCAAAAUGUUGAGAAGCGUAUUGAGUAAUUCUUCCCAAAAAUAGAAACAAAAAAUACUAUAAAAAAAGUUAAUUUGGAAGUGUAGAAUUAUCGUCCCUCAGAACUUAUGUAAACCCAUGCUACAAAUGCAUCAGCCGGCUACAGGGGACAUUUUGUAGUACCCAAAAGCAUUGCCUUUUUUAAAUUUUUUUUUUUUUUUAAUCUGAGCAUUUCAAUGAUUGGAGAAAAGAAAAACAAAAAGUUUACAUGCAAGGGGAGGAUAGUUUGGCAGCUUUUGCUGAGGAAUAAAGUUAAGUAAAUCAAAAGUCACCUUGGAAACAAUAAAAGCAUGGGAAAAUGUUUUUAUUAAUUAAGUCACAAGAAAAACAUUUUUAGAACCUCCUCGUAUAAUCCAAAUUGUAUUCACUAGAAGGAAAGCACAAAUUUUAAAAAAUUCAAUUGCAUUAUGUAACUUUACAGUACAUUAAAUUGAGUGCAAUAACAAUGUAUGAGAAAUUAUUCGCCUGCACCAGGCGUAUCGGAACAUCAUAUCUAUUUUUGGGGUAUUUAGAUUUUAAUUUUUAGAUAUUGUUUAUCAGAUAUUGAAAACAUGCAUAUGAUGUGCUGAAACAGUGUGGGGGGGGGUGUAAGCAAUAAAACACUCACAGCUUCAGGUAAAUUUCUAUUGAAUUACUAAUACAAGUUAGAUAACAGUAAUGCGAAGAGUAAUACCUGUAUUGAACAAACUAGCUGAUCUAAACAAUAGCAGUAAUUUCUGUAAAUUGUAAAGUUUAUAAUCCGUGCCUUGCUCACACGAACUUUGCACGCACGGUAAUUAGUUCGAUGAAGCUGCACAGAAUACAGCAUUAGUUAGAGAACUAAAAUCAUCAACCAUUUUCGAAUCUCAUAAACAGCAAUGAGAUCCAAAUAAGUCAGAAAACAUCCUAUGAAAAGUUCACGCUAAAUGUCAGCAAAUCAGACGAUAUUUCUCACAGCAGUUCCAUGAUUCCAUCCCCUCUCCUUCUCCCUCUGCUGCUGAUUCCUCUGUGCUGCAUUGUUAGUACCAGUUGGCAUAGGCACUCUUCGCGCCUUCCUCCCACUCCCGCCGAUCGAAAUUCGAAGCUUCUCGAUCCCAUUGCUCCCUCUUCGAACCGACUGUGGUAACUGUGGCCUUACAAUCACCUUCUUUUGGAGGCUUCUUCUAAGAAUACUGGCUAUCUUCUUGUUACUUCUAGGGUCUCUUUUAUGUUCGCGAUUUUUGUCAUUAAUAGUUGGGAGUGGUGAACAAAAGGGCGGUGACGGAUUAUCUGCUGUGGGCCUGAUGGUAGGAAGUGGAAUUAGAGAGUUCCGACGAGAGGCAGGAACGGGAGGAACACGGUUAAUUGUGCUGCAAAGAGAAACUCUGCUGGCUUUUCUUAAGAGUGGCUGCUCUUCUGCUAAUUCUGGCUUAUUCUCCUUGUCCUUCAGAGGAGAGAAGGGCUUAAGUAUGUUGGUAUUAUCGCUUGGAGGGAAUGGCGUCAGUCUGUGGAUAUUGUUAUCAGUGAGGGGCCGCAUUACAUUCGCAAAGUCUUUGUACGGAGUAGUGAAUGGAAUGUUUUCAUCUUCUCUUUCUCGUUGCUGCUGCUGUUGUUCUUCGGCUAUUUUGGUGUCAACGUGCUGUCUCGCAAGUUUUCUUUCGAUCAGUAGCUGUGAUUCCAGCUCUUUAACCUGCAUAUAAUAAUAUAAUGUUAGGUGUUGACCUUUUCAAGCUGUUAGGAAGGGUGACAAAACUGGAUUUAAACUGACCUCUUGUUAUUAGUUUUUAUACAUAAUCUACUGUUAUUAGCUUUUCUACACAAUCUGCUGCAACAAUUUCCAAUAAUGACUUUACAAAGUAAUUUGAUGUUUAAACAGUGGCUUGCUUUUGUGUACUUCACCGCACAAACUAAGACAGUAGAACCAGAGAAAUAGAAUAAGAUAGUUAUCCACUAGAAUAAAACAAACAGGUAUUUUCCACACCUACUAAAUAAAAGAUAUAUGCUGUACUAUGCAACAGCUUGCAAGGCAGAGUAGAAAAAAGAUAAAGAGUAAAUAUACUUUGUCUUGGAGGGUUUUGUUGAUCAGAUCUUUUGCCCUGUUUUUCAUUUCAACAGAUUGAAUUGUCUCUUCCAUACUCUUAAUUUGAACAUCUUUAUUCUUGCUGUCUUGCUUGGCUUUGCCGACCUGGCAAAACCAUAAAGAGAACUUAUUCUUAGACAUAGAAAAAAAAAAAGAGGGGACAAAAAUAAGAACUGUGGAUUCCAGGGAGUACUACCAUCAAUUUGUAUCUGGACAAUUCACUGACAUCAACUUGCUUCUUGGCUGGACCAAGCUCAAUUCCCCUCACUCUACUAGCAAAAUUGAGAGAGCAAAGAGUCUCACCCACAUCAUUCUCAUUAGGGCUAAUCUGCACAAACAUCAGAGUCUUCGAGUCUCCACCUGAAUCACUUCUCUGAAUCAGUAAGAUUUUAACUUAAAAUAUCUAAAUUUACUGGAGAAAAUAAAUAAAACCAGAAGAGGAAGAAAACUUCACUUAGCGAGUCCUGCAGUAAAUGUGUUAGUUUUGAAUUCCUACAAAAUUCAAGAGGGAAUCCAAAUGUUAGAAUCAUGCAGCUCGGUAUUCAAUGAAAGAAUCAGAUCCUAAAAACAUAUAUUUUCUUCAAGAACCUGAAAGGAAUAUGUGGACUUUUAGUUGCAAGAGCCGAUAUCACGUCUCCUAAUGCAGAGAGUGAUUUGUUAAUGUUUUGAGCCUCCUUCAAUCGUUCUCCUUGAGCAUCUGUCUUCGUUACUCUCUCACUUCCUGCUAAGUCUAUUAGCCAUAACUUGCUUUUCGUGCAUUCCCCAUUUACCAGAUUCUCUCCUCUCACCAUAACACAGUUGAUACUGAAACAAACAAUAAGAUUUCAUAUAUUAGUUUUCUAUCAUUUGAUAAAUGUUAACAUGUUUUCAGAGAGGAUGAACUACUAAUUAUAAAUUUGAAAAAGACACAAGGGAGAAAGGAUAACCAGUGUGAUCGACUACUGUGUUCAUUUGCAUUUGUUGAUCCUACAGCCCGGGCUUUGCUGCCAGUUUGUAGAACUUCCCAAACCUCAUUCAUGUUGCCAACAUGAGCCUCAACCAGUCCAGGAACAUGAUGAACACCUUCUGCAAAUUGUCUGACUUCUAGCCUACAGAAAAUAAGCAAUAAUUACAAAACUACUAAUAAUUUUGUCUCUCCAAGGUUAUUACAAAAUUAUACUUCUAAGUUACCUUUUCGAAGCUACUCCAGGCUGGGAUCCUGUAAGAAGUAAAUCAUGUAUUUGCUCAUUGUAGACCUCUAACACACUUACAGUUAACUCGUAACGAAAAAGCCCCUCCCUUUCUUCGAUAAUACGAAAUAGUUCCUCGAGAGUCCUAUAAUUGACUCCUCUAGCUUCUUCAGUCCCUUCCAUGGUGAAUGUUUUCCCAGUCCCAGUCUGCCCGUAAGCGAAUAUGCAGACAUUGUACCCAUCCAACACUGAUGUUGCAAAAGGUGCUGUUUUCUCAAAUACCUUUUCUGUCCACGAAGUACAUAUGAUAGAAUUUUACAGAUUUCAGGUUAAAUUGUUUAUCAUUUUAGAUGAUAAACUGAGCAUUGAAAGAAUUACCUUGGUCAUCUUCAGGGUUGAAAACAGAGUCAAAUUUGAAUACUUUCUUGGAGGAUACAUGACCCCGAACUAUUAGUUCACCAUCUUUUGCAGAUUCAAAAUCGACAGCCAUAGAAGCUCCAGCAGCUAUUUCUUCUCCAUUUAGAGGUCGGCACCGACAAAAAACUCUAAUGUUUCCUGCAAUUACAAGUUUUAGACCAAGUACCAGCUCCCUAAUUUCCACUGGUACCUGUAAAAGUCAAAUAGAUCAAUAACCUUUCAGCUCAAUAAGCUUAUUGUACAGAUCUUUCCGUUCCUUUGUUUCCUCGAUGAAUUUCUCUUUUAGCUCUUUGCACUCCCUAUUUAUGUUGGUGUAAUAGUCCACUGUUUGAUAGAAAAUGAUAAACUCAUUAGAGAAAAAGUAAACAAUAUAUGUGUAUAAACUAACAUUUUUACAAAGCAGAACAAAGCGUAUAUUAUUCAAAAGAGACGGACAAACAACACAUACUGGUGUUCUGAAUUGAAUUGUUCAUCUCUGUAAAAUCUGCAAGGCACUUCUUGUAUUCCUGCACUGCCUCUGAUAAAUUGGUAUGUUCGAGCUUCAGCAACUGUUUACAUAUAACUACUGAUUAUAAGACGCAUAUAUCCGAGGAAUAUAGCUACAUGAAGUUGUUGUUAUAGCUUCACGAGAGAGAGAGAGAGAGAGAGAGAGAGAGAGUACAUUAAAUUUCUCGCUCAAGUCUCUUAGGGACAGAAACCAUCGGCUCUUCUCCUUCACUUGUCCCUCAACAGCAAAGGCUGCAUAAAAUCAUAUGAAUCACUCAUUCAACUUCCCAUAAAAAAUGUAAUCUAGUAAAGGUUCUAGUACCUAAAGAACCAACAUGCAUCGACUUCUGCAUCAGUUCCAUCUGUAGUUCCUGGAGUGACAUCCAUGCCUCAUGGCAUUCUUUACUUUUGAGAUCAUUCUCUCUCUUUAAUUCUUGCACUUCUCUUUUAGCUUCUUCUUGAUUCUUCAGGAGUAAAUCAUACUCUUUCUUCAGUUUCCUACAGCUAAUGCAUUUGUCCUGUAAAUGUCGAAUUUGUGCUUACAAUUCAAUGAAUGUAAUCUAUUUUUCCAAAUGUUUGAGACGGAAAUGAAUCUUGAAAACUAGAAACAAAAUAUCCUCUGUUCAGUUUUACCUCUGUCAGAUUUGAUAUUUCUUCCAUCGUUCCUGGUAAUAAUAUAAAUCAACAUUUGUUACCACACUUUAAUAACAUGUUAGUAAAGUGUAUGGAUAUCCCUUCAAACUAAGGCCACUUUAAAAUACACUGCCGAUCUUAAAUUUUUUAUCAGCUUUUUUUUUAUUUGAGUUAUUCCCUUCAGUUAUACUAGGUAUUUUGGUUAAAAUCAACAACUCAUUUGCCAUGGCAGUCCCGGCAGCAAACACUAUUAAAUUCAAUGAAUUUACCAUUGGAUUCAACAAAAUUUUCAAUUUUAUUAAGUGAAAUAACUUAAACCAAUAAAGAAAAUUGAGGGGCACUAAUCACAAAAAUAUAAAGGUAAGAAGGUGAUUUCAAAAUGCUUUAUUGUUGGGUUGAUCUCCAUACACUUUAAUUUUAACAUGAAUUUUAGUCCCCAAGAAAAAGAUCAUGAUACAAUGACUUCAGAUGAAAUAGAAGGAAAUACAAACCUUUAGAAGUGUCGCAUUUAAUUGAAAUACCACAAGCAAUAGGUCUGCCGACUAACCCUUCGAAUCUUAUGGAUAGACCUUCCUUUUCAACAACUGAUGCCCUAAGGUCCGAUAUUACUAAGGGCUGAUUGGCUCCGACCUUUGCGUAUACAUCUAAUGCAGAGAUAACCUGUUGAAAGGCGCAUGUGUAGAAAGAAAAGUUGACAAAAUAUUUCUCUAAAACAGAUAAAUUACAAAAAAAAAUUUCCUCACCUUCUCUUCCUGUAUAAAGACAUCGAAAAUUCUCAUUCCCGGAGGACCAUCAGUGUACACAAUCUCCACAAAGUGAAGGUCUACAAGAUACUCUCCAGCAUCAAAGUUCUCAAACUUAUACGAGAAAUUUCCUAUUCGAGCAGAUUGGUACAAUAGUACUACUUUCCCAUCACCAAUUGGUGCAUCUGUUCUAAUAGUAUCUCCACCAGUAUAGAAGUUAUCCUUUUGAAACUCCAAACCUUCAUAAGCUACAGAAUCAUCGAUUCCACCUACAUUUAUGUUCAAGAAAUUAUACGUAUCCAUGAUCGAAGCUUCCAAAGCUUCUCUUUUACUCGAAGAUUGCAUCUCCGGAGAUGAUCCCUGAUUUGUAUUAGAGCUGUUGGAUCUUCUAAUUGAAAAGAGCUCAAGAGGUACGAUUCUUUUUCUUUGUAUGCCUCUUCUAAUGUAAUCCGGCGUCUCUUGCAGUUGCCCACAAGGUAUAUCAGGUGAAUCCGAAGAUCCUACUGAAAUCGCAUAAAACUCAAAAUCCUUAGCAAUUUGCUCGAAGAAAAGGUCAAAAUGGCUUCAGAUCUUACAAUCAGUUUCCAAAAAUCCAUUUUUUUAAAAAAAAAAAAUUGAUAAACAUAAAGACGUAAACAAACUUACUAAUAGUUGAUUCAAAAGGAAUGAAAUCGCACAUCUCGGCCAUUCGAACCGUCUUCUUGAUCUCCUUCCCAGGAGAAACACCUACAAAACAAAUCAAAGCGAAAAUUUGGAGUUAAAAUCCAUUAAAAUUCACUCUGUACCAUAAAAAAAAAUGAUAAUUGCGAGAACAAUAAAGAAGUUAAAGGAGAACCAUACCUAUCCUACCAUUAGGAGUAGGGUUUUGCCCAAUCCGUUCCAUUGGAUCAGCACAAGAAACCCCCUCUUCGCCAAGAACACAAAACCCUACCUAAAAAGAGGUGCGCGAUCCCGCCUAGGGUUUUCAAUUGAUGCAAAAGGAGCUGGACGGAGAAAGAAGGAUUUGAACUCGAAGAAAAGGAAAAGAGAAAAAGGGGGAACAGUCGAUUCGUCAGACACCAAAAAAAAGGAGGGGGGAAUGGAUUAAGAGAGACGAAGCGACCGUUGGCUUUUUGAAAUUUGAAAACUUUGGUUUUACAUGAUAAUAAUAAAUGGGAGCAAUUAACGGUGUUUGGAGCAUUAAUACGAUGAUCAAUUAGAGGCUUCGUUAGCGGGAUAUGAUCUGAUGUGCGGCCAGGAUUCGUUUUCGCGAGCGAGCAGUACGAUCCUGUCCGUUUAUCCUUAUUACAAUGUUGACUUACAUCUGAUGCUACACGUUCAACAGCGAACUUCCGGAUAGCCAAUAUAAUUAAGCCACGUGUACGUUAGAGUUUGCGUGGAAGGUGUUGAUCGGUCGGUUGUAGACUUCUGAUGAGAGGAGAAAGCAGCGGAUCCUUCGUUUUGUUAUGGAAAGGAUUAGGUAAGCGCCAAUAGCAAAAUGCUUGGAGUGCUCGUGAAUGGUUCAUGCGAUUCCUCUGACUCACCUACAACAGCGAGAAAACGGUAACGGUUAACUUUUUAAUUCUUUUGUCAAAAAAAAAAAAAAAAUCCAGUUAUUUAUUAAGCAUAAGAAGAAGGUGACAAAAGCUACUUACCAAUCAUCAAUUCACUAAACUUUUGGUAGUAAAUGAGAGAUUAUGAACAAAAUUCUAUAAGUCCUCCUCAUUGGUACUUUAAGAUUCGAGCCAGUAAAAUGAUCAAGAUGGUGAUUAUGGCUUCACCGUGGAGAGUUUGUUCAUCUAAUAUUUUAAGAUUGGCACAAUUAGCGCAUUUUAAUCUAAUUAAUUAUAUUUAGUUAAUAAAUUCUAUGCGUCGUAAAUUUUUUUAUGGAUUAGGAACUAUCAAAUAAAACAUGGUUCCCUCACUAUCUUAUUCAUUGUGCAUAUGGAUUCCGAAUUAGGUGGUUAUUAUGGGGUAGAUGCAGUUUUGUAGGAUAGUUUUACAUGAAAGAAACAAAAAUAAUAAUAAUGAUAACGGAAAACUUCAAACACCACCUCUUUGAUUUCGCACUUUCUUAUUUUAAUAAUAUAUAGUUUAAAGUGUAUCAUUCUCGUACCAUGUGAUUUUAUUUUUCUUCUUUGUUAUCCUCUUUACUAAUUUUUUUUAUUAAAUUAGUGACAAAGUUAAAACUAAAGGAUACUAAAGUGAAUAUUCGAUAAACUAGAGAUAAAAUAUAUGAAGUUUUUUGUAUAUGAUUUAACGAAAAGUUAACGGAAAAACCGACGAAAAGACAAAAAUGAAAUCACAAGGUACUAUAUUGAUACAUUUUAAACUAUAGGAUACUAAAGUGAGAAAGCGCAAAACCACAAGAGUGGUAUUUGACGUUUACCUAAUAAUAAUAAUGGAGAUCUAGUUAAUGUACGCUAUCGGGUCUUGACACAUAAGCUUAAAACUUUGAAUUAUGAUACUAAGGGCCCGUUUGGUUCGAGUUAUGUAAUAUUACAAAGUACCUCGACAUAUCUAGAUAUCUUGGAUUUCGGCGUGAGAUUACUACUGAUGCUGCAUUAGUGCGUUUGAUUUAAUACAGUAAUGUAAUACUAGAUUACAGUGUUUACAUCAUUAAUAUGUUUGCUUCAGUUUAUAAAAUUUAGUAAUUAUGACAUAAAAGUAUAGUUUUUUUCAAAAUUGUCCUUGUUGUGGUCAUUUGAAUAUUUUUUUUUACAAAAAUAUAAUUUGCAGUAGUAAAUUAAUUAUAUUAAUAAGUAAUAAACCAAAAAUACCUAACAUGAAAAAAAAUUAACGUUGCAAAAAAUUAAUUUCAACCCAUAAAAGAAUAAAUAGAAAAAAAAUAUUAUACAUAAUGAAAAAUCAUAUAAUAAUAAAUAAAUUUUAAUAGAAGAUGAUAAGUGUUCGUGCACGAGAGAGAAAGAGAUAUAGAUAGAGAUAGACGUGCGAGAGAGAGAGCGAGAGAAAGGGGCGUGCGAGAGAGAGGGGGAAGGCGAGAGAGAUGAAAAUAAUAAUGUUAAUUAGAUUCGGGAUUGUUGAAGGGUAAAAUUGUCAUUUUACAUAAUAUUUAGUAUUAACGGGUUUCAGUAAUGCAAGAUACACGACCCCCCUACCGUUAAUAUUUUUGAUGUAAUCCUGCUCGAUUUGUAAUGCUACAUUAACGAUUAGAUUACGUAGCGGAUGUACUAAACAUAGUUAUCCUGGCAGGAUUGUUUGUAAUCCUGCCAGGAUAACUCGAACCAAACGCACCCUAAGUAAUAUAUUUUUUUCAUAUUUUUUGAGAUAAAGAUAGCAAGCUACACAGUUGUUCUUUUUUGUUCAGAAAUAAAUUUAUUAUGAAUGUGAAGUAAUGAGAUUUUGAAUUUGGGACAUCGGAUAUCAAUCAUUAAGCUUUUAGCUAACUGUGCUAGAUACAGCCGGUGGUUCUAAUUAGUAUGUUAUGUUUACACAUGUUUAGGAUUUGUGCUCGGUCUAAAGUGCAAAAGUACGUCUCAUCAUUAUUAGUCACUACAACUAGAAUUGUGCUCAUUGAAAGUUACCAAAGAACAAAGAGCAUAUUUUAAUUCAUUCAUUUUGGAACGAGAAUAGAAUAAAACAACAAUCCAUAAGCUCCCUUUCAAUUUAGCGCAGUUUUAUUUUAUCAUCAUAUUAUUUAAAAAAUAAUUUGCUAUUUUGUAGUUUUAUUUUUACUAUACAACAAAAAAUUGUCAUUAAAUGAGAUAGCAAAUUAUAUUAGCUAACACUAAAGUCGGCAAGAGAGUUACACUUUCGGCGCCGACUUCAACUGAAAUUGACUGUCGACUCGCCGAAACGAAUGGUUCAUAAAGUCGGUACAUAUACCCAUAGAAUGCCGAGUUACGUCACGCGAAUUUGAGAGUAUGUACCGUUCUUUUUGUCCCGAGUUGGUCCCAAUUUGCCCAUUAGCUUCAAAGUUUUCACCAUCUCUAUUAUUUGACCUGGGUGCAUCUAGGGUUUCGAUCGAAGAGGAAGGGCUCUAGAGAUCUCGAUCGAUCGCAACGUCGAUUCCGAUGAUCGCAGACGAUAUAGGUUUCAUGUCGCGCGACAGCUAGAAGUGGAAUUUAGGGUUCCGAUUGGAUGGAAAUGGAGGGAGGAAGCACAUCAGGAUCCGUCGGAGAAGGCGCUCAGGUGACUCGUCAAUUCUCGCCAGCGCGAUCGAGAGGUGAUUAUUCUCUAAUUACUCGAAAACUCUGAGGUGACUGAUAUAUAGUUCUGUCAUAAGAUUAGAAUUCCGGUUGAUCUCGUGCGAUGAAGUUUAAUUUUUGUUGUUAUGUGAAUUUGUGGAUGCAAACGAGUGGUGAAGAUUGGGAUUAUAGGCAUUUUUCUAUGUGAAAUUUGGUUAAUUGUUCAAAAUAUUAAAAUCAGCAAUAAGAUCAUGUCUCUCGAAAUAACUAAGGCAAUAAUAAAAGUUGCGACUAAUUGAUGCAAAUAAUAAUUAUGUGAUAAGUUAGUUAUACUGAUAAUUCUUCAACGUUGCAGUUAUACUCCAUCUAGUGUUAUAGUUUUGAUUCCUAUAAGUGAUAGUCCAAUCACCACGGAAUGGUUUAAUCUAUAGGAAUUUAAAUUUUAGAUUUUUAUAGAGUGUCUGUUUGUCGGAGUUAUUUAGAAUUGCUAUUUGAGUAGAGGCUUUUGAAGAUGUCAAAACAAAUUUUAUAAAAUUUCCUCGUCGGCUUUCCGUUGACGCUAGAAAUAGAAGUUUCAAACGGCGGCUUCCGUGUUUGCCAUUCAGUGAGAUCAUUUUGGCUACCCUUUCUAGCUAGAUACUCAAGAGUUUUGCUCAUUGCCUGUCUUUGCUUCUUGAAUACAGAAGCCUUUCUAGACUAAAAAUUGCGGCAAGUACUCUUCCAGUGUCGCUAUGGUCAUCAUGGUUCUUUUAUGUACAAUGAUGACCAUAAAAUUCUUUUAACGGUUUUAUUACAUAAGCUAUGCGGGCAUGUUCACUAACUGCACUUUCGCAAGCUUCUAUCUCUUUUUGUCAUUGGAUGAAUUGGUUUUUGCUGAAUCAUGUCAACAUUUUGUUGCUUUUGCAGCAUUUUACAGAUUCACCCAGCAAAAUCUUCCAGCUUGCAAACCUGUUCUAACUCCAGGAUGUGUAAGAUGACAUUGACAAUAAACUUCCAUACUUAAUUCACAAUUUUGUUAAUUUUACUAUAGCAAUUCUGCUUGUUACUUUCAGGUGAUAACAAUAUUUUUGUUGAUGGGUAUUGUUUUGACCCCAGUUGGACUUGUAUGUCUUCGCGCUUCGGAAAGUGUAAUUCACCUUAACUAGUUAACUCUCUUCCUAGUGAGUAGAUGUCGUGCAACAGUAAAGCGGCGCUGAUGUCUGGCUGGGUUCACAUUGUCUUCCCAUUCUACAGGUUGUGGAAAUUGUGAAUCGCUAUGACAUUGAAUGUAUACCCGUGCCUUAUAGAAGUAAUAAAGUGGCCUAUAUCAGGGACAGCUCUAUUUCGAAGAACUGUACUCUAAAAAUUAAGGUAAAUUUAUGCAUCCUCAAAUUUUAUGCGGUUCAUUUGUUGUUGUUGUUAGAUUUAGUUGUUAUAAAUUUAGUUGUUGUUAUAAAUUUAGUCGUUAUAAAUUUAGUUGUACUCUAAAAAUUAAGGUAGGUGUAAUUGUAAAUUUAGUUGUUUUUGUUAGAUUUGUUUCUUAUACCUGUCAAUUUUUUAACCAAAAUUCAUGUAACUCAACCUUCAACGUCGACCGUCUGAUGCACUAGAAGUAUUCUCUUAAUCUUGUAUGCUUAAGUGUCUUUUUAGCAUAGACUUAAAACCAUUUUCGAUACAGCUAGGUGAAUGUCAAUGUCACUUUUGGUUGACUGUGUGAUAACUUCUCAUUAGGAGAUAUGACUCUUCAAGUGACCAUUGGCACCAUCAAGUGAUCAUCUGCUUUAUGGUUCCAUCAUAACCUCCAUCUCCCAGAAAUGCUCUGCUCUGCAUGUCAUUCAGAAGCAACUUAAUAUCAAAAGCAUCAAAGUAGAUCUUAAUGUAAAAUAUGUUUCCACAUAUUUUAUUCUAAAGAAUGUACUUGUGGCCUUCCUUAAUUUGUCUCUUUCGCUAAGAGCAAUGCUAAUUAUAGAUCCAAACAGUGGGCAUAAAUCUUACAUCCUAUCUAUCAGGACCAAUAUUUUUACACUAGUUUUAUCAAUCCUUUUCCAUUAAUAGUAAUAACCCACAAAGUGUGUUUGAACCCCUGGAUGGGUGGGUGUAAAAUUUGCACCCUACUUUCGGGUGUACAAGUAGCAUUUCUCCUUCACUUAGGGAUACUGCACUUAGGACCCUGCUUUAUAUUCAUGACCAACUCUCAAGAUGGGGCUUUUUGAGGAAUUUUAUAAUACAAAUGAAGUUACUGGAUAAGUGUUUGGAUUGGUGAUAUGUGGAAAGCCGGUUCAGUAUCUGUUGGCAGGAAAAUUUGUGAUCUUACUAGGUCCAUUUACAUAUUCUGCUUCCUCAAAAUUCUUGCCCUUUUUUUUAAUAUUAUUAUUCUUCUUUCUAUACUAGAAGGGUAUGGCAAGUUUUUUCUUUUCCACUCUUAAAGAUGUAAAACUGAAAUUCAGGAACUCAUUAAUAUACUGCUUGAAAACCCUUUCAUAAUUCUGCUUGUACAACAUGAUAGUUAAUUUAGUUUAUAACAUCAUUUAUUAUCUUAUCUACUUUGUCUUUCACUGGAAAGAAAAUGGAUGCUGAGAUAUUUGUAAUAUUCUGCAGGUUGAGAACCGUAUGAAAGCACCGAUAUAUAUAUAUUAUGAACUUGACAAUUACUACCAAAACCAUCGAAGGUAAGCAUUUUUUUCUCUCUCUAAAACCUACUGUCAAGAACAAGAACGUGUCUUCUCUUCAUAUUUGGCUGGAUUGAUUGUAAUAGAACUAGCUUGUCCUGUCAUUUUAUCCUUUAUCUUAUCAUUCAAGGAUUCCUUGUGUGAAUAGUUUUGCUCAUCUUAUGUAUCCAGGUAUGUAAAAAGUAGAAGUGAUAAACAGCUGCGCCAUGGACUGGAGUACAAAGACACUAGUUCUUGCAAACCUGAGGAGAAGAGCAACGGCCUUCCUAUCGUUCCUUGUGGGUUGAUCGCAUGGAGCUUAUUCAAUGAUUCUUAUAGUUUUAUACAUGACACAGUGGAAAUGAAGGUAAAUAGAAAGAACAUUUCUUGGAAGAGUGAUCGGGAGCACAAGUUUGGAAAGAAUGUGUACCCUUUCAACUUCCAGAAUGGAACACUAAUUGGAGGAGGAAAACUCAACCCGAAAGUUCCGGUGAGUAAUUAAAUUUUUUGUAUUUGAUAGUUCAGUUUCAAUUCACGUAAUAAGUUUCUCUUUCACUAGACUGCAAAAUCUUAAUUUUUGCAUUUGCCUUUCUAAAACUUUUCCCUGCAAAAAUGCCCUCCAUUUUUUUUAAAAAAAUCUACUACAAAACAUGACUCUCCAACAUAUGUAUAUUUUGUAUGAAUAGCUAAAGUUCAGAUUUUAUAGGUGUAUAUACCUAAAUAGAUGAUUUUGCUGGGAUGUACGGAUAAAAUUCCCUUCUUUCUGUUUCUCCAUAAGUAACUUCAGAUCUGCUCAAGGAUAUAUAUAUANGAGAGAGAUUUGGGAAGGGUAUAUGUACGGACGAUUCUAAAACGGGGAAGGCGACAACGGGGGUGGUGGGGGCGAAACGUCCGUGACGGAGUGAAUUAACCGACAACCCGACACCUAACGUCCUCCCCGCCGCCGUUUGACCCACCUUUCUCGGGCUCCGGACGGAACGAGCCCAACGCCGUUAGCAUGCGGCCGUCAGUGAUCCCCCGACGUUAAGAAAGAGCCACGGCCUACGGGCUUACUGGUGGGUCGUUUCAUCUUUCACGCAGUUCGUUUUUCCCUUCGGGAACCAUAACCGUCGUCCUUAAUAAAUGAACCAGGUGGGCCCCACCCCCGCACUGAGGACCAAAAAAAGGCCUGGACCCGCUGCACCACAUCACCCGUGGACCUCUCUUCUAACCUCCCUCAUUCAGUAUGAAUUCUACACAUUAUAUAUAUAUAUAUAUAUAUAUAUAUAUAUAGAGAGAGAGAGAGAGAGAGAGAGAGAGAGAGAGUAGGCUACUAUACUAUUAAUAGUACCAAUCGCUUGGUGCUAUUAGAUUUUCGGCUUUUGGAUGAAUGGAUGUGCGGUUAGGAUGAUAGUGGUCUCCGAUUAGGAUGAUAGUGGUCCCCUAAGGUUGAGUGGGUGGGUUGGUUGUAUAGUAUAUAAUCUAACGGGUGGAAAUGGUCAAAGGGGUAGAUAAAACGGCUGAAAACUUGAUAGCACCAAAUCCUUGGUACUGUCGAUAAUAUAGUAGCCAGACUCUAUAUUUAUAUGUGUGCAAAACCGGCAUUCUCUUUUGAAGUUUGAACUCUUAUAUCUGAACUGCUUCCUAUGUAAAGCCUAUUAGUUCUGUGGUUCUUCCACGACCUCUCAGCCUUUUCUGUUGGCAUUAUAAUGUAAUUUAAUAUCCAAGAAAAUUUCAAAUAAUCUAAUGGAAAUAUCAUUUAUUUCCAAAAAUAGUUGAGUGAACAGGAGGACCUCAUUGUGUGGAUGCGCGCCGCUGCUCUUCCCAAAUUCCGGAAGUUGUAUGGUGUUAUUGAAGAGAACCUGGAAGCUAAUGAGGUGAUAGAAGUACGAGUUGCUAACAACUACAAUACUUACAGCUUCGGGGGAAAGAAAAAGCUUGUCCUCACGACAUCAAACUGGUUGGGAGGCAAAAACAAUUUCCUCGGGAUAGCUUAUAUGGCCACUGGUUCCUUGUGCAUUGUCAUCUCUAUUUUGUUUGCAUUGAUUCACGUAAAGAAUCCAAGGUGACUACCCUGCUUCACAUGUUAUUUUUAGUUAAAGCUACAAUAUAUUAUUGAAGUGCCACGUCAUUCAGAAAAUUUUAACCAAGGUCAUAUUUAAGAAUGAAUUGUUCUAUCGGUAUGUAGUGUUGUUACUUGUUAUGAGUUUGGGUUUCGUUAAAUGCUUCUUGUGGCAUCUUGAAUGCAUUUGAUCUGCCAAGAAUCAGUAUUUUGCACUUUUUACUGCAUAGAAAAGACCAUUUUCGAUACGGAGUUAGCUUUUCAUCUUCUUGUUUCCUUUUGUAGGCCCCAUGGCGAUCCAACUUACUUAUCUUGGAACAGGAAAAGCAACGCUAGCUAAAUUGCGGAAUUCCGAGGGCUCCUGCACAUUGCUGUUCUGAAACAGGUUUGCGCCUUCCUCCAGAUUAUCGUUAUGCUCUACAGCGACAUAUUUUGAGAUGGAUGUUAGCUGGUGUGUAAUGUAUUCUUAUGUUGUAAGUAUCCGUAAAGGAGCUGCAAUUCCUGUUAUGUUUUCUCCUCUUUCUCCUAAGUUCCCCUGCUAUGGGUAGCAUGUUUAAUCAUAUAUUAAUUUUCGAGUUUCCUGUGAGAACAAAGCACUGCGGUAUUGUUGCUUAAUCCUUCUUACUCUAGGUGCUGCUCUCAGUGAGUACACAGCAGGGCAUAAAUCACCUUAAUGCCAUCAAAAUCUACUACUUAAAAGCAACCCAUUUUAGGUUAAGAUUUUCUCUUUCCAGGCCCCUGAAAAGCAAAACCCCUUUCAAGUAAAUUUCUUUUCCUUUCUCGCGCCAGCUCUUUCUUAUGCAUUGUUGCAAAGAGGGAGAGAGAAACUGCAGCGUCAGUUGUUCGUUGAACAACGUCAUUCACUGUAGAGAAAGAGAAAAGUAGAGAAAAAAAAAAAGAAGAAAACUAAAAAGAUCAGGUGUAGAACAGUUGCAGGAGACAAAUCUUUUGUACAGAGGAAUUCCUCUGAUUUAGGGCACACUGAUCACAUGGCCAAGAACAUGAGAUGCCUCUUCUCUCUCUCUCUCUCUCUCUCUCUCUCUCUCUCAUGUAUUUCCCCUGCUAAUGUUGUGCUCUUUAUCGUGACCAGGGCCAUGCUGGGGCUAUUCUCGGAAAUUAGAACGGCAGACUCAGACCACGUAAUACCUGCCUGGCUUUGACUGCACUCAUUAUCUCAUCCUGUACAACCAGAAUUAACAAAAGGAAACCUAAAACACUUAUUACUCGAUCAUCAGAGGGCCUUUUGCAUUAAAAUUUGUAGUGUUGUAGCCUUGUAGGUUGUAUUGUUAUCUUAUAAAGUUCAUCUGUGAGUUGUGCUGAUAGGAAAGGCAAUAUAUCAAAUGCUCUUCAACCGCUCAAAUUAGAAGCAUAAAAUUGGAGUUUUUGAUUCUACAAGCAAUGAAGCGUUAGAAUUUUUAUUUUUAUUUUUAUUUUUUUGGCCCCAGAAUCCUCUAUUAAAAACUCUUAUUAGAAGUUGCCAAAGCUGCUAGUAAAGAGGUGAGCCAUGUGGCUGAUUGUCGAGCGAGGAGAGGCCCGUGAAUUAAGAUUACCAGCGCCAGAAAAACAGUUGUUGUUGUGGUACGAGCAAUCACAAAUAAGGAAUGAUGAUGCUCCAGGCUCCAGCCAACAUUUUUAAUAAUAAUAAUAGCAACUGUUAAUAUAUAUUAGGCGACAAAUAUGCUACAUUUUACUUAUGAUCCUCAAAAUAUAAUACACAUGAUAUUUUUGAAAAAGAAAUGUUAAUCAGAAUCGAAAUGUGCGCAACACACAUAAAUGCUCACGAUAUUUGCCAUUCGUAACGUAAAAUUGGUGGUCAUAAAAUCGAAAAGAUUGAGCAUCAAAUGAAUUAAGUAGAAGGUCAUGUUAACAAAAUAAAUUCAGUCUCACUUUCAGUCCUUUAUAAUGCUUUUUUUUUAAAAAAAAACACAAAUGAAGUAAACGUAAAUGCUCGGUGUCUUAUGAUCAAGCCUUCAAUCCUUAACAUGGAUUUUAAAAGGCGGUCGCUAAUAUAAUUGUUGCAAGUAGCGAAAGCUCUAGUUGAAGUUUAAACCCAGUAGCCCAGUAACAUGCCACGGCUUUGAAAAUAUAGCUGCACUGAUCUCUCUUGCAUUGCGUAAUGCAUAUAUAAUCUAUUGUCAUGUAAGUAAACGUUAGAAGACAUGUAUAUACACGAUGGUGAGCGCGAUCGGAAAACAGAAAACGUAGAUCCUAGAUAAAAUAUAAAGUGGAUCACUAGCUAGGAGAAGAGUCUAAGAACCAUUAAUACAUAUAUAUAUAUAUAUAUAUAUAUAGAUAUAGAUAAUUAAGUGGAGGUGGGUAGGUAGGUAACUAGAGCCAGAGAGCCCCGGCUUGUUUGAGGAGGGGGACGAGGGAGCCGUUGAUGUGGCACGACAUCACCUUUUCCACCCCUCCCAGAAGCUUGCCCCCGACGAACACCACCGGCACCGCCGACGCCGUCGCAGAUCCCGAUGCCCCCGACGCAGCAGCAGGCGACGUGGAGGCCAGCAGGUGGGAGAGCACGGCCUGGAUGUCGGCGACGCCGCGGUCGAGCUGGUCGAGCUCGUACACGGUGGGGCCGACGCCGAGGCCCAGGAGCAGGCGCUUGACCACGUGGCACAUGCAGCAGCCGCUCACGCUGAACACCACCACCGCGUUCCCGCUCGCCAUCCGCGCCACCCUCUCGUACGGCCCCCUCAUCACCACCACGCGACUCGCCCGCCCCUGCUGCUCCUCCCCCUCCUCCUCCUCCUCCUCCACCAUCCUCAUCAUCCCUCCUCCUCCUCCUCCUCCUACAACCUUCUACAACCUUCUACGCACCACAAGCAAGGACGCACGAGAGAGAAACGACUCGAUCGGUAUAUAUAUAUACACACACACACACACACAUACAGCGAGAGAGGAAUGGGAGUCAAAGGGACGUGGUUCGGUAUGUAGCUUUUGCAGGCGCUUUUUUGGCCUCUGCAGAGAGAGAGAGAGAGAGAGAGAGAGGUGUGCAUGGAAUGGGGAAAAAGAGAGGCUACAUGUUGUGUAUAUAUAUAGGGAACGGAGAGGGGAGAAAGAGAGAGAGAGAGAGAGAGAGAGAGAGAGAGAGAUUUUGGAGGGUAUAUGACUACGAUCGACGAUUCUAACGGGAUGAAGAGCGACAACGGGGUGUGGGGAAAAAUUAACUCGACAACACACCAAAAGACACUAACGUCCUCCCCGGACCCACUUUGCUUCGGGCUCCGGGACGGAAACAACAUACCGGUUCAUGAUCCCGCCGACGUUAAGAAAGACCACGGACAACGGGCUUACUGUGGACGUGUUCAAUUCUUUCAAAACAGCAGUUACGUUUUUUCCUGGAACCAUACCGUCGUCCUUAAUAAAUGAACCAGGUGGGAACACCAACCGACACUGGGCGGACCAUAAAAUAAGCCUGAGAAAAACCGCUGACACCGACUACCUGACUUCUUUCUAACCGACCUUCUCAUUCGUAUGAAUUCUACACAUUAUAUAUAUAUAUAUAUUAGUAUAUAUAUAUAUAUAUAUACGAGUUGUGCUGGUGAUGCUAUAAGGAAGUACGAGAGCUAAACAAGUCAUAUUCGAUUUUCUGACUUCAAUCGACGAAUCGGAUCUCGUUAAAAUUUGAUCUACGAGAUUAAAGUAACUAAUAAAAUAAAAUUUUGCAAUUUUUUUGAUAUCAUUUGCCUAGUGAUCGAAGGGCCAAAAUAAAUAUUUAAGGCGUAGUGAGGACCGGUUGCAAGUUUAACUGGUGUAAAGAAAUAUCCCAACUCACAAUGAAUUUUAAUAAAAAAUAUCUUAUACAUACAAACAAGAUCAAUAAUUUUGAUCUAAAUUUAAUUCAUAUCCAUCAUAUUUUGUAAGAUUUUUAUUUCAGCCGUUGAUCUUGAGGCCACCAUCAAUACUAGAGCAAUAAUAUCGUCAAAAUCGCAAAAAUUAUUUUCUAGAUACUAUCAUAUCCUAGAUCAAGUACUAAUUGAUCCGAUCGUUGAUUAAAGUCGAUCACAUCGAAAACAAAGUGGAAAGCACGGAGCCUCUCCGUGUUCCAUAAGCAUCUAGCCGACUCUCUCUCGUCCUCUCAUUCACUCUGCGUCCCACGACUGUCUCCGCUCUUCAUCUCUACUCAUCUAUAUAUAUAUCUAUAUAUACAUAUAUGUAAUAAUAUAUAUAGAACUAGGCUGGAAUAUUCUUAAUAGCACCAAUGACUUGGUGCUAUUAAGUUUUCUGUCCUUGGAUUAAAAGAUAUGCGGUUAGGAUAAUGUGGGCCUCCUAGGGUUGAGUAGGUGGUUGGUUGAAUAGUAUAAUCGAACGGAUAAAAAUUAUAAAAGAGAUAAAUUUAACGGCAGAAAACUUGAUAGCACCAAAUGUUUCAUGCUAUCGAUAGUAUACCAGCCGAACUAUAUAUAUAUAUAGAGAGAGAGAGAGAGAGAGAGAGUCCGACUACUAUAUUUUUAUGAGUAUUAGCUCCCUUAUACUCAUAAGUUUUUGGCUCUUAGAUUUAUUUCAUUGAUCAUUUCCACUCGUUAGAUCAUACUAUUAAACCAACUACCCACUCAACCCUAGGAGACCACUAUCAUUUUAAGUGGGGACCACCACCAUCUUAACCACACAUCUUAUCAAUCAACGGUUAAAAAUUUAUGAGUACAAGGAGGUCUAUAUUCAUAAAAGUAUAGUAGCCCCAGCAUAUAUAUAUAUAUAUAUAUAUAGAGUCCAGCUAUGGUGCUUGUAAAAGCAUAAAGCACUUGGUGCUUGUAAGUUUUUACCAUUAGAUCUACUCAUUGGAUCAUUUUCAACCAUUAGAUUAUACUAUUCAACCAACCAUCCACUCAACCCUAGAGGGCCCACAUCAUCCUAACCGCNAACAUUAUUUAGAGUAUUUAAAAUUUUUAGAAAUCAAAUUUCGUAAAUUUUCGACAUCAUUUACUUUACGAUCAAAAGGUCACAAAAUUGAAUAUUUGCUAACUUAAGGUGCAAAAAAAUUGGAAUAGGUUGAAUUUUUGAUAAAAAAUUCUAUUCACUAUCUAGAUUAAUACUAUACUCUUAAAUUGAAGGAUCCGAUCAUCCAUUUUUAGGACGUUGUUCAAUUUUGACCGAUCAUUUUAUACACGCGCAAUAGAUUUUAUUAUGAUUUCUAAAAAUUACAAAAUUUAUUUUUUAAAAGUUCAAAUACUCUAAAUCAUAUUUAAUGGAGUGAAUAGUCGAUUCGAAAGCUCUAUUAUCGAAAAUGACUUAUGAAUAUAAGUAUGAUCGUAUUCAUAAGAUUGUAAUAGCCNNNNNNNNNNNNNNNNNNNNNNNNNNNNNNNNNNNNNNNNNNNNNNNNNNNNNNNNNNNNNNNNNNNNNNNNNNNNNNNNNNNNNNNNNNNNNNNNNNNNNNNNNNNNNNNNNNNNNNNNNNNNNNNNNNNNNNNNNNNNNNNNNNNNNNNNNNNNNNNNNNNNNNNNNNNNNNNNNNNNNNNNNNNNNNNNNNNNNNNNNNNNNNNNNNNNNNNNNNNNNNNNNNNNNNNNNNNNNNNNNNNNNNNNNNNNNNNNNNNNNNNNNNNNNNNNNNNNNNNNNNNNNNNNNNNNNNNNNNNNNNNNNNNNNNNNNNNNNNNNNNNNNNNNNNNNNNNNNNNNNNNNNNNNNNNNNNNNNNNNNNNNNNNNNNNNNNNNNNNNNNNNNNNNNNNNNNNNNNNNNNNNNNNNNNNNNNNNNNNNNNNNNNNNNNNNNNNNNNNNNNNNNNNNNNNNNNNNNNNNNNNNNNNNNNNNNNNNNNNNNNNNNNNNNNNNNNNNNNNNNNNNNNNNNNNNNNNNNNNNNNNNNNNNNNNNNNNNNNNNNNNNNNNNNNNNNNNNNNNNNNNNNNNNNNNNNNNNNNNNNNNNNNNNNNNNNNNNNNNNNNNNNNNNNNNNNNNNNNNNNNNNNNNNNNNNNNNNNNNNNNNNNNNNNNNNNNNNNNNNNNNNNNNNNNNNNNNNNNNNNNNNNNNNNNNNNNNNNNNNNNNNNNNNNNNNNNNNNNNNNNNNNNNNNNNNNNNNNNNNNNNNNNNNNNNNNNNNNNNNNNNNNNNNNNNNNNNNNNNNNNNNNNNNNNNNNNNNNNNNNNNNNNNNNNNNNNNNNNNNNNNNNNNNNNNNNNNNNNNNNNNNNNNNNNNNNNNNNNNNNNNNNNNNNNNNNNNNNNNNNNNNNNNNNNNNNNNNNNNNNNNNNNNNNNNNNNNNNNNNNNNNNNNNNNNNNNNNNNNNNNNNNNNNNNNNNNNNNNNNNNNNNNNNNNNNNNNNNNNNNNNNNNNNNNNNNNNNNNNNNNNNNNNNNNNNNNNNNNNNNNNNNNNNNNNNNNNNNNNNNNNNNNNNNNNNNNNNNNNNNNNNNNNNNNNNNNNNNNNNNNNNNNNNNNNNNNNNNNNNNNNNNNNNNNNNNNNNNNNNNNNNNNNNNNNNNNNNNNNNNNNNNNNNNNNNNNNNNNNNNNNNNNNNNNNNNNNNNNNNNNNNNNNNNNNNNNNNNNNNNNNNNNNNNNNNNNNNNNNNNNNNNNNNNNNNNNNNNNNNNNNNNNNNNNNNNNNNNNNNNNNNNNNNNNNNNNNNNNNNNNNNNNNNNNNNNNNNNNNNNNNNNNNNNNNNNNNNNNNNNNNNNNNNNNNNNNNNNNNNNNNNNNNNNNNNNNNNNNNNNNNNNNNNUUGAGAUGAUGGUGGUAGGUGGUGGUAGGUGGAAUAGUGUUUAAUCCAAGGGCUAUUAAUAAUCAAAAAAUAGAUCUAAUGGCUUAAAACCUAACAGCACCAUGAUGGUGAUACUUGUAAAAGUAUCAUAGCUCAACUCUCUAUAUAUAUAAUAAUAGUAUAAAUUUUGAACCGUUAAACGAGAAAACCCCUCAUAUCAACCAUUAAAAUUACUAAUUUUGAAACUCUUUGAUCAUUAGGUAAAUGAUGUCAAAAAGAUUUGAAAUUUGAUUUCUAGAUACUUCAAGUGAUAUAGAUCAUGUUCAACGGUGUUGAUUGUCGAUUUGAAAGCUCCAUCAUCGAAAACAAAUGGGUGGCAACGGAGCCCGUUUGCUACCGAUAGCAUUCCAGCUCAACUCUCUCUCUCUCUCUAUAUAUAUAGAGAGAGAGAGAGAAUUGAGCUCCUAUGCUUUUAAAAGUAUAAAGUCAUUGGUGCUUAUAAGUUUUUGGCCCUUGAAUUAAAGGAUGUGCGGUUAGGUUGAUGUGGGCCCUCUAAGAUUGAGUGGGUGGUUAGUUGAAUAGUAUUAUCUAAUGGGUAAAAAUGAUCAAAAAUAGGGAUCUAAUGGUAAAAAAUUUAUAAACACCAAGUGCUUGAUGCUUUUACUUUUACAAGCACCAUAGCCGGACUAUAUAUAUAUAUAUAUAUAUAUAUAUAUAUAUAUAUAUAUAUAUAUAUAUAUAUAUUUUAAUAUAUAUAUAUAUAUAUAUAUAUNNNNNNNNNAUAUUCUUAGCAAUUUACUAUCUGGUAUGAGGUGUUGCGGGGUUGUAAAAUUCUCAAAUGCGAAUUGGAGCAGCGCGGUUGGCCCCGAGCGAGAGUGAGCGGUCAAAGGCGCCGAGUGUGCGAGUCAAAGAUCACGUCCCUCUCGCUCUUCUGCUGCGCUUCUCACUGUUUGCAUGCGAUUCGGCGGGUGGUAACAUGCCUCAUGAUUCCACUUUUAGCAUCCAUCCCAUUUCAUUUCACUUCCCUUUUUUGAAAUUUUAUUUUAUUUUAUUCUUAUUGUUAAUUUCUUUUUUACCGCACGCCGCUGACAAAGGAUAAUAUGGCGUUCUCUCCCCCCUCUCUCUCUCUCUCUCUCUCUCUCCGUUUCGGAUUCGGGUGCGUUUUAUCGUCUUCUGUUUGGUCGGACUCGGGCUCGCCGGGAGGUGCGAAAAGGGGUCGGUAAGUACAGACUACAGAGAACGCUGCCGUUGCUUUGAGAACUGGGCCAACUUUGCUUUAGGGCUCCGGGUGCCACUUGGUGCGCGCCGAGAAACUAGUCGGUGGACCGGUUCCACCACAUCCACCGUCCGCGGACCAUCUAAUUAAGCUCUUCUCACCUGAUGCGUUUGAUUAAUUGAUAUUGUGGGACUGGGCCCGGUCGCGAAAGUGGUGAGGUUGUUUCCGAACCUCUCUGCGAUGGAAAGUAGGAACGAAAUGGACGGAUAGAUUUGAGCGGUGCGCGGAUGACGUGGUGGAUCUGGUCCGCGAAAUUAGUUCUCGUGCAUGGGACACGCUACAGAUGUGUCGGAUCCAGGGUGGCGGAUGGAAAAGUCCAUGUCGUAGUCUUGUUAUCUAUCUUGUCACGGGAAAAGCAGUGCGCGUGUAUAUAUAUAUUUAUUCUAUAUACGUUUACUUUUUUUUUUUUAUGAAUAUAAUACCUAAAGAGGUAAUGGAAUGGGAAAAUGAAAAUAUUCAUGGUACAUUCACCACCUUCUCUUUUUUCUCUUUUUUCGCCUUUGACGAAUGGAAUAAGUAGAUGUUGUUUUUCAUUCAACCAAUAGUGCAACCAAUCAAUCACAUAAAAUUUAUGAUUAAAAAAUUAUAAAAAUAAAAUAAAUAAAACGGAUAGCGUGUUACCUAUCUCUUAAAAAAAAAGAAAACCCAUAAAAAUAAACAAUGGUGCCAGAUGAGCCUUCUUCAGGCCAAGAACCAAUUCCCACCUUAUUAUAAGAUUAACUAAAGUUUAACAUUCAUUUUUGUAGCACAAGAGAGACUACAAACUUUGUAAUAGUUACACCCCUCCUCCUUGAAUACCUCUUACACCCACAUGGAAAAAAUAAAAUAAAAUAAUGCACUACACAUAAAACACCACCCAAUUACAAAGUUCAAACUUACACAUGCAAUUAAUACACACGAAAAGAAAAGUUUUGCAUGCAUGCAAAACGCGUUAAAAGCGCUUAAUUAACUUGCUAGACGAAAAAAUUUUACGAGAUACAUCGAUCUCAUCACGGUGCAUCAGAGGAAAAUAGUUGUUAUCAAUCGGUUCACAGGUGACAGGUUCGAAUCUUAAAGUCGACAUCACGAGGCGAUGGCCAUCCUUGCGGUCGAAGCCCUGACUCCUCCCACGACGCCGGCGAGGAAGGCGCAGACCCCGCGCACCGCCCGCUCCACGAACCUGGCGAGGGCCUCAAAUGGGUCGGCGGCGCAGGCCGUGCCCCCCGCGGGGCGAGUGCACGUGCGUCGCGCGCUGUGCCAGAACCGCGUGAGGCAGCUCCGGUCGCGGGUCGCGAGGAUGGCGGCCGACUGGAGAUACGCGGAGGCCGCAUGCUUUACCUGUCGAAUAUAACAUAUUAGAAACACCGUUCUCAGGUAACUUUACAUAGACUCUGGCUAUUAUGCUAUCAAGAGCACCAAAUAUUUAAUAUUAUUAAGUUUUUUGCGGCUGUUAGAUCAAACUCUUUAACUAUUUUUGUCUGUUAACUUAUAUUAUUAAUUCAAUCAACCAACCACUCAAUCGUAAAAAUUAAUAUCAUUCUAUCUGUACAUUCCUUAAUUUAAGAAUCGAAAACUUAAUAGUACCAAUUACUUGAUGCUAUUAAUAGUAUAGUAAUAUAAUUUAUUUUAUAUAUUUAAUUUAGAUUUACUGGAUAAAUUUUAUAAGACUAUCGUAUUACAUGCUAUCAUUUUAAGUUUUUAGAGAAAAACGGUAAUUCAGCAUGCAAUGUUACCAGCUGAUUGCGGAUGCAGAUGGCGGAGGAGUCGAAGCCACCGUGGCCGGCGACGUCGAUGCCCGACCCGGCCCGGCUCCCGCGGCUGCAGCUGCCGAUGCCGCCGAGGGCGGCGGUGGGGGAGUCGAGGCCGAGGAGGAUGUCCUUGAGGCUGGUGUACUCAUGAAUGCUGCCGACGCUGCUCGACGGCGACUUCAGCUUCGCGGUGCGCGGCGAGGCGGCAGAGUCCAGAAGCUGCAGCUCCGUCUCCAUCUCUACUAUCCAUACACUACUUAGAAUUCCUAUUCUUUUUUAAUGUUUUUUUGGUUUCCCCUAUAAGUUUAAGAUGGUUUGAGGAGGGAUGAAAUUACGGGUUUGAGAGAAGAGAGAAUGGAGAGGACGAGGAGUCCAUGAAUCUGGGGCUCUCUAUGUGGUUGGUGUUAUGCUUAUUUUUAUCAACUACUAAGUUUGAGAGAGAGGUGUGGGGGAUUUGGUUAAGAGAGGAGGAGAGCGCGCGGUUUUGGCGGGUAUUAACUUAAAUCGGGUUUUGCUAAAUCGGGUCACCCUGACGUGGAUACUGCUUCCUUGUUUCCGCAAAUAAUAUCAUACAGGAUAGUAUAAGAAAAAAAGGUAUAAAACAAUAUUAUUUUACUCCUUAUUUGUAAUAAAAAUAAUUUGUUUAGAUAAUAAUAAAUCAUACGAACACAUUAAUUAAAAAAUGUACGGAUUGAAAAAUAAAGUAUUGUACGGAGAUAGAGGUUGAGAAAGCGAAGUAUCUAGAAAUGAAAGGAGGGAGAAGAUAAGGCCAAGGUUGAACUACGAUCGAUAUGACAAAUUUUAUAAAAAAUAAUAUAUAAAUAUAGAUAUAUAUCGUGUGUACCGUAGUUAAUUUUAUGCUAAUGUAAUGUAAUUUUCCGUCCAUUAGCAUUACAAGGCUUUCAAUACCAAAGAUUUACUGACACCUUGUUUUAAUAUCCAGUUUAUUUGAGUCAUUAUUAUGCCUCGACGCCUUGUUUAUGCCGUGAAUCUUUAAGAAAGUAAUGCUAACUUUAAUUACGAUAAAAAAAUUAGUUGUAAUUAAUCUUAUAGGUUCACUCUUUAACGACCAACUCUUUAACAUUAGUUUUGCAAUUUUUUUUUUUAAUUAAAUACUAGAAUCCAUAUACAAUGGUUUUUACAGAUUGUUAGGAUGGAAUUUUUGCAAGAUUGCAAUGGCAUUUGGUUCGUGUAAGUAGCAAAAAAAUUUUUCCUUCAAAAUUAUGACUUUUUUAUAUGUAGGUUUUUAGAUCCUGUAAAUUACAUUUGUUUAAAUUUUUUUACUUCAAAAUAUUAAUUAAUACAAACAGCUCUGUGGAAUUCAAAUAUGUAGAUCCUAUAUAUUUUGGGCCCAAUGUCACCCAUUAAUAACAUUGUGGCCCAAGAUAAGUUAGGCCCAAUUGGCAUUAACACAUUUUCAGCUUUCUUUCCCCGUCUCUUCGGAAAAUGAAAGGAAAAUAAAAGAAAAAAAAAUAAAAAUAAAAAAGAACUCCCUCAAUCAUUAUUAUAGUACUUAAGUGACAAAUCAAGUGGGUUGGUGUAGUGGAUCAGACCAAGGUCCAUGGGUUGGGCCUACUCGGUGUCAACAUUAGGUCCAUGUGCCCAUUUCCUUGUGCUGUUAUAUGGUCCACACUCCGGUCCCAAUCAAAUGGUGACAAAAUCAAUUGGGUGAAAUGCAUAUCGGUACCUGCAAAUAUAAUAAAUUAUAAAUAUGUUCUUAUAAAGCUCAAUUUCCAUGUGUUGUUUUUAUCAAAGUUCUAAUAUUUUCAAAUACGCCUCUCUGGUUUGUUACCGUUGGAGAACUAUUUAUAUUUUAACAGUAAAUAAAUGAAAUAUCAAUUUUGCUAUCAUAAAAAUGUCCCUCCAAAAAUCACAAUAGUAUAAUAUAAGAGAGAUAAAAAUGACAAGUUAUCUCAUAAACUAAUUGGGUUAAGUAUUUAACCUAUGGUUAACUAAAAUUUUCUAAUAGAUUCUAACGGUAGGAAUAUAUUUAAAAAUACUAAGACUUUUAUAGUAACAAAAUAUAAAAGUUAAAUUUUAUAAAAAUAUAUUUAUAAUUUAUUAUAUUUACAGAAACUUAUAUGCAAUUAAUCUAAAUCAAUUCAAUACUUAGAAAAUAUAUAUCUAUCAAUUGGUCUAUCAGUUAAUAGAUUCAUGGUACCCGAAUUGUUCUGCCUUGACAUAAUUAGAAAUUUUACUGCAAAGACUUUUGUUGGCGACACACACGCGGCGCUAAUUCAUUAGCUAUCAUUGUUUUUCUUUUUCAGCUUACUUUUGGUUUUACCGACCGUCCCUAGAGCAAGUGACAAAGAGUUUGGUGGUUGGUAUCUGAGACCCAAGUUCGAAUCCUAGUUGAUUCACAUUUCUAGCUAAGUUUAUUUUCUAAAUAAAAUAAACGAAACAGAUAGCGUGCGACGUAUCUCUUCAAAAAAAAAAAAAAAAAAAGCAGCUUACUUUUGGUUUGGGCCACACAAGUGGCAGCAUUUUGAGGUGCAGGUAUGCGUCAAAUGAAAUUACUUGAUUGCGGUCAUAUGUUUUUUGCAUGCUAAUGACGUGGAAAGUGGGCAAUCGCACAUUCACAAAAAAAAGAAGUUAGUUUAUAAGGUGAUCCAAUUUAGCUAGUUUAUAAUUGGACUAACUAACAAGCACUUUUCCACCAAACUCUAGCCUAAAUGGUUGCAGAGUCCCGGAUAGAACAGUAUACGGAGAAAGAUAAUAUACUAUUUGUUUAGUCUAUUUUAUCUAUAAAUAAAUUUAGCUGAAAAUGUAAAUCAAUUAAGAUUCGAAUUUGGGACCUUGGAUACUAACGAUCAAGUAUUUUGUCACUUGAGUUACGAACGGUUAGUUACGUUACAAUUAUUAUGCUCUAUAUUUGAAUUAGUUUUGCCAAAUAUCUUAGAAAAAUUAGAAGCUAAAAUAGGACUGAAGAAGCCCUAAAAAGCUAGCUUUUUUCGGUUAAAUCCUAUAGUAACCUAAUUUGUGUUCAAAUUGGUAGAACACAGAUACUUCAAAGUGAUCAAAUUUUGUAUAUUGAGUUUUGGCUCUACAAAUAUUUUUAACUGUAGAUUUCGUUGGCUUGUGGUAGUCCAAACAGGUACUCAAUUUUCUAGUCCAAACAGGUACUCAAUCAUAUAAAUAAGAGAAAUAUAUAUUCUCCCAUUAUUUCAUAGUGUUACGUAACUUAUAUAUAUAUAUAUAUUCUUCAUGCAUGGGGUUCACACAUGAUUUGGCCCAAAGAAAUGGAAAAAGAAUGGGAGAGUUUUCCAAAGGCAUGAUGAGGUUGGCGAAAGAAAACAACACCACAAGUGUGCAGCUCAAAUAAAGACUUGUGGUCCACGAUCGCUACUUAUUUUUCAAUUGUUUACUUUUUAUUUUUUAUUUUCUUGUGUUUACGGAUGUCAAUGGGUAUGGAUACCCGAAAUUUUAUCCGAGCCCGAAAUCGAAUGAAAUGGAUAUAUCCGAUGGAUAUGAAUAUGGAUUCGGAUAUGAAUAUAAAAAAUAGAAAUCCGACGGAUAUGAAUUUUGAUUGUACCCGACCCGAACCUGAAUUUAUUUUAUAUUAUAUAUAUAUAUAUAUAUAUAUAUAUAUAUAUAUAUAUAUAUAUAUAUAUAUAUUUGAUGUUACAUUUGAAUUUGUAUUUUAAAAAUUUAAAUUUAAUAUAAUAUAUUUUGAAAUAUUAAAAAAAGAAAUAAGUGUUUCGGAUUCAAAUUUUCGGGUUCGGGUUUCGGAUUUUUGGUCGGGUUCGGAUUUGGAUAUGAAUUUUUAUAAUCCGUCGGGUUCGGGCUCGGAUUCGGCUCUCGGGUUUGGAGUCGGGUUCGGGUUCGGAUUUUUAAAAAUCCGCCCCGAAUCCAACCCGUUGACAUCUCUACUUGUGUUGGACAAUAUGUAUAUUGUACUUUAUUUAUAACACCAUAAGAUAAUAAAGUAGUGCGAUCGAUGAUUCGAUAUAUCAAUAAUGUGAACCUCAAGUAUCUGUUUGGCCUAGCUCGAUAAAACUUUUUUAUAUAAUUUUUAAUUACUCAGUAGAAUCAUCUAAUUAAAAAUAAAAAUUUAGUUCUCUAGCUUUAUAUUUUGAUAACUAUAUAUGUUCCAUAAAGCUAAAAGCGAAACCUUUCGAAUUAGAUCUUUAUUUUGAAAAUCUUAAAACUAGCCUAGUUCAUCCUUGCAAUAAAUGAAGCGGGUAACGUGCUACCAAUUUCUCAAAAAAAAAAAAACAAAAAAAAAACCAUUACAUCUGGGAUUUAUGUAUACAGGGAAAUUACAAAAAAAAAAAAGGGAAAAAAAUUGGCUCUAUGAGAAUAAAUAAUUAGAUUAUAAUUAUAGCAUUUGGUUUUAGGUUGUGUAAUGGAAUCAAGUAAGCGGCAUCGGUCGCUCAGAGGAAACUAGCGUACAAAUUGCCAAUAAAAAAAAUAAAACUAUAAUCGAACAAAAUCACACUUUGAAACAACUUCUAACAUCAUUAAAAGUAUUAAUUUUUCCUAACUAUUCUGGAUUCAUCUGACGAUUAGUUUAUAGGAAUUGUUUAUUGGUUGCAGGUAAGAUAAGGAAUUUGGUAAAAUAAUCAAUGAUGUAGACACGCUUAUUAACUCUAUAAUACAAAAUACAAAAGAUAUAUAGAGUAAUAAUUGUUGUAAUCAAUAUGUACACAAUCAUAAAUAAAAUCAGUUUAAAAUAUUCUAGUCCUCUUUUGUGAACUAGUGCCCCCCUAAAAGGGUGAAAUUAUUUAAUAUAAAAUAAUCCAAAAUUUUCUUCAAAAAUGAACCUCGGCAUCGAAAGGAGUUACAUUCGUGCGAUUUUUUUCUUUUUGGAGAGAGAGAGAGAGAGAGAGAGAGAGAACGGAAAAAUGCAACAUACUUUUUCUUUAUUUUAGAAAAAAUAAACUUAACUACAAAUAUAAAACAACUCAACUUUGAAUUUAAAAUCUCGAAUAUCAACUCUUAAAUUUUUUGAGGCAUGUGCUAGGAACAGUUAGUUAUUUAUGUGAAAGUUAUUCUUCGAGAACAAAAGAAGAGCUUAGACAUUCACAAAAGGCUCUUCUUCUCUCCACAUGCAUGGAUGAGAUGGCAAAAAUUAGGAUCGCAUUUUAGACCUUUUUGUUCCAAUUAUUAAUUAUUGGCACUUUACCAUUUCUUGUAAAAAUAAAAGUGCCAAUUCCAUUUCUUUGGGCCAAUCAUGAGACACCCUUGUGCUAUGCUCUUUUUUCUUUCAUUGGAUGUGUUAUAUUUUUCUGAAAUAUAAUUAAAUAGAUAAUUAAAUAGUUAAUAGUGUGUUAGCGUAUAAAGUUCGCGGUUCACCAUAUGUCAAUUGUUGCAAGUUCUGGAAAAAGAAAAAGAAAAAAAGGAUUACUCAUUCGUCAGCGAAGAAAGUGACAUAAAAUUAAAUUUGACACGAAGUUUGAACAUUUUAGCAGGCUUUGAAUAUUUUUAUAUGGUUCAUUAUCGACUAGAUAAUGACCCGAUUACGUCGAUAGAAACUUUUCUUGUUGAGAUGUUACUUGUUUAAGAAAUUAAACCAUUUAUAUUGCAUAAAUUAAUGAAUGUGUCUUUCCAUGAUAGCAAAUAUUCAAAUUGCAGAGAAAAGAUAUUCAAUUUCAGCAUCAACAAUUAUUGAACAUCCACAUAAAAGCUACAUAGAUAGCCAUUCUCUUACAAACAGUGGAUGAAAAGAAAAUGGAAAACAUUUUCUAACUCUUGAUCUUGUUAGUAAGCAGUAGCACUUGAUUUAUUAAAGAAGUGAGAUAAAGCUUACUGAAAAGGUUAGAGACAAAAAAAAAGUAAACUAAGUGUUAUUCAUGCAAUUUUUAUCUUAACAUAUUGUUCGUCAGAUAUUAAAUGCAGUGUAUGAAAUGUAUGGAUCGGGCGAUAAUUUCUUCGAAAGCAGAAGCCUAAAUUGCCAUUUCAGAGAUGCGCACUUGGUUACGCACAAAACAUGCCUGUUUGUUGCCUUCUAGAACAAUUUCCUCUUUUACUAAGAAUUUGAUAAAUAAGAAGCAAAAGAUGCAACUUGUGAUUCAGAAUUAAAAUUUGUUAGGAAGAUUUUAAUGAGAACUCAACUAGAAAUUUGAAGUAACUAAUUUUCGAACUUGCAAUCUCAUGUACCAAUCAUCAAACUCUUAGUCAACAUGAAAGUAUUAGUGAUCCUUCAAAUAUCUCCACAAAACAAAAUUUAUUAUAUAGAAAGGUAU